UAUUUUUUUUUGGACUUAUUUUUGGGCCCGGGCAAAAUUGAGUGUCUACAAAUAACUUAUAAGGGUAAUAAUCUAGAGUACCACUAUUCAAAUUGAACUCUUACGGUUUUUCUGUAUGAGGUUUUAGUUCUAAAGUUAAAGGUACCCGAACUAGCAGAUUCCUCGAUUUUUACCCAUUAUAGGCUCAUUUGAAUCGAGUUUAGUUCAGGGGAAUACAUUUCCCUAUGGCUACACGGAGAUGAAAAUCUCACGAAACCAUAAGUACGGAUGUAUCCCGAAAGUGAUCCACUAUCCUGCACGGAGGCAAAAACCUCACGAAGGUGUAGUUUCUCACUCCCACUUAAGGGUGUGACCACAACGGUCAUGCAAAUGCAACGCGUAUUAGAAUAUAUAACAUAUGCAAUAAUACAAACACAUGUAAUGCAAAGAGGAUUGAAUUUUAAAAUUUUGCAAAUUUUCGACAUUAAGACAAAAGGUAAUCGAUUAUACGGCUUGACUCUCUUAUUAGUCCCCAGCGGAGUCGCCAAGUUGUCGAAACUAUUUUUAAAUCGUUUGAAAAAAUGGCGUUCGACUUUAUAAAAAACGAAAAUAGGAGUCGCCACCAAUCUUUUUAGGUGUGAUUGGAUCACCUUAUAAAAUGUUUUGUUUUAAAACAUUAAUUUUGGUCUACGAAAGUCGAGAAAACGGAUUCGGGAGUUGGUUACAUACGAGGAAGGGUUAGCACCCUCGUAACGCCCAAAAAUUGGUACCUAAUUGAUUAUCAAGUGUCUUUAAUGUCGGAAUUUUGAAACUUUUAAGAUGAAAACCUCUUUUAAUUAAAAUGUCUCAAUUUUGAAAAUUAAGGCACACUUAUUUCAAACGAGUCAAAACAUCACAUCUAGUAAGUUAGGACGCAACAUUUUAAAACCUUCGAAACUAAGCUCGUCUUUCGAAAAUUUCUAUCUCGAAACAACGAAACGCCAUAUCCAGUAAGUUAGGACACUAUGUUUUGAAAUCCCAAGAUAGUUGCUCGUAUUUUGAAAACCUUAAAACUUAGAAGGGUGCUUGACUAUUCGAACUCAAUGAGAAAAGUUGCAACCCAGUAAGUAAGGGCACUACUUUUCUCGAAGCUUCCAACCAUCAAAACAUUGCCUCACUUUUAAAAUUCUUUUGAAUUAAGUGAAAUAUAUCUUUUGGUUUUUUUAAAAAAUAAUGAUUUGUUUUGUAUAUCACAAGGAAUUACAUAAAUCUAAUUACAAUAUACAUGUUUUAUAAUUUCAUGCAAAUAUAGUAUAGAAAAUAAUAAUAAUGAUAUAAAUUACACAAUAUACAUUAUUACUUUAUGCAUAUAUUAUCAUAAACGACAUAAAUGUUCAUGCAUUAUUAUUCCAUGCUAAACACCAUAUAAUGCAUAAUAAAUAUAACAAAUAUAAAUUGCAAUAUACAUAUAUGAUAAUAUCUUAUGCAAAUCACCAUAAAUAAUUAAUUUCAUGCAAAUAUACGAAAACAAAUGAUAUGUAAAAAUUUAACCCACUAUAUCAAAAUAAGAGAAAACUAAAAAUAAAUAAAUAAAUUAAAAUGUAUAAAAUAUAAAUCCAAUAAAAACAAGAUAUUUAGAAAUAUAUUGAAUAAUAUAAGAGCGAUAAAAGAGAACCCCUACUUUUUUAAAAAUGAUACAUUAAGUUAUAUUAUAGGGUAUAAUAACUAUAUAUAAAAAAUGUACUAAGUAUUAAUAUUACAUUUAUUUAUAAAUUUUUUUAAAAAUGUAUAUAAUUAAUAAAUAACAAAAUAAUAUAUACUUUAUAAUAAAAUAAAGGGAAUGUAAGGAAAUAUAGUAUAAUAUAUAGUGUAUAACAUAAUUUACAAAUAAAAAUAUAUGAUAAUGUAAAUUAUAAUAUAAAAAUAUAAUAUAAUGUAUAUAAUAUAAUAUAAAAAAUAUCAUGAUGUAUAGUAAAAUAUAAUAUGUAAUAAAUAUAUACAAAUAGAAUAUAAUGAAAUAUAAUAUGAUAAGGGAUAUAUAAAAUAAUAGUAAUAACAUAAUAAGUAUUUUACAUAUAAAAAUGUAGUAACAUAAAUAGUAUAUAAUAUAAAACAUAUAAAAAAACAGAAUAAAUAUAUAUAUAAUAAAAGAAAUUUUUUAAAAAAUGUAUAAUAAUAAUCUAAUGAAUAAUAAUACUAUUUUAUAUAACUAGUAUUUUUUUUAAAAAAAUAAUAUAAAAUAAAAAGGAUUAAAAUUGAAUUUAAUUAAGAAAUUUGGGGGUUAAUUUGCAAAAUAAUGAAAAUUCUGGGCCUGAUUGAAAUGCGCGUUAAAUUCAGAGGACUCACUGGGCAAUUUAGCCCUAAUACCAAAACGACACUGUUUCCCAAAUACCGUUUUAAAAUCACUAUGAGGACUAAAUUGAAACAAAAUUAAAAUGUUAGAGCUAAAUUAAAAAAAUAAAUAAAAUGAAAUUAUAAAUAUUAAAAUUGCGAGAGGACCAAUUGGAAAAUUAACCCAUUUUACAAAAACACGCGGAUCCUCCCCGAGUACAGGUCAACACACAAACCCUAAUGCUUCGAAACAACGCCGUUUUUAGGCUUAUUGAAUUAAACCAAAAUGGCACUGUUUCGUUUAGGCUAUAUAAGUCAAAUUAUAAGUUUAAAAAUCAUUUCUGAAAUCAAUUUUUUUUAAAAAGAAAGAAACUCUCUGAAAGAGAGUUGGGGAGGGGCUCUCGGAGUGUCACCGGACCUCCGUCCAGGGGUUCGCACGCGCUCCCCCGCCCCUUUCGUCUCCGCCGCAUACGGUGGCCGGAGGUUUAAAAACCUCGCCUUCCAACGCCGAUUAAAGGUGUAAUGGGCCAAUUUAGCCCGGGCCCGUAUAAACACAAAACCAAAAAAUAACAAACAAAAUAUAUCAACAGUCCAAUAAAGGUCCAUCAGUCCAAGUUACAUAACCCAACUUUAAAACCAAAAUGAAUCAACCCAUUUACAAUUAAAUCUGAGCCCAAAUGCGAUGGGCCCAAGUGGCCCAAGAUUAGGGCAGAACCCUAGCAGCUUGUGUGCGCCGUAGCAACCAGCAACCCCAGCAUCCUCCUGGAGCCACGCACGCUCCCGUACACACGCUAGAACCACCUCGUACACUUCGAGCCAAGGGCCAGCGCAUGUCCUCUGCUCUGUACCUACGAACAAGACAAACACAGCAACAAACAGAGACAAAAGGGAAAAUAUUGUAUUUUCUUUAUUCAUUUUUUUCGUUUUGGCUAUAAAGCCAGAAAAUUUUCAUUGUAAUGGGUUACGUUCACAGAGAAUACAAACACACAAUACAUACGCAAUAUAGUUUGCUUGAAAAUCAGAGAGUCACUUCUUGAGAAGGUGAUCUUUAUCCCUCGAUUCUAUUUGUUAUUUCCUUCGUUUUUUUGUUUUCUAUCAUUUUACAUUAAAAAAAAACGAAGACUUACCUUUGUGUAUGAGCCAUUGGAAUCUAUCUUUUUCGUCGGCGUCGAAGCUUGGGAAGAUUCCAAGGCUGAAAUCGGCAGACUAUAGGGUUGGAUUCGGAAUAAGGAAGGAAAAAAGGCACUAUCGGAGCGAUAUUCAUCGUUUGAAAGGACGAAACAGAGGCUGAACGGCGCAGAGGAUUAGGGUUUCCCCUCUCCAUUGAUUCAGUCGAAUAGCUCAUCUUUGGGGCCCUUUUAAGCGACUAAAAACGACACCGUUUGAUCCCACUCCAAUGGCUCCAAAACAAUGCCGUGUAUAUAAGACCCGACCGACCUGAUUCCCAACCCCUAUGACCCGCACGUUCUGGCGGAGAGGGGGUAAUUUCUCUAUAGGUCCUCCCUUUUUGUAUGGGCGUUCGAAUGUGGCUUUAUUUAUUUCGUUUUUCUUUUUUAAUUUGUCUUUACAAUUUGCAUGUGGUUGCAAUUUAGUCCGCGUUUUAAUGCUGCAUUGUGAGGACUGGUAUAUUUCCAGUUUAGAUCCUUCUGCAUUAUCGUGCCUCGCGCAUGGGUCCCUUUUUUUUAUUAUUUGCUCCAUUGUCUUAAUUUCCCCCUCUUGUUUUAGUUUAAUUUCGAUUAAGUCCCUUAGUUCGUAGCCCUUUUGUGUGUUCUUAAUUAAUUAUUUUUAAUUUUAAGUCAUGGCUAUUCCAUUGUUAUAAACUGUUCUCUUUUAGCAAUCCUAGCAUCAUGUUUUGUACAUUUCAAAUAUUUGUUUCAUGUACAUUAUUAUAUACGUACGUAUAUAUAUUAUAUAAUAAUGUUAAUCUAUUUUUAUACAUAAUGGCUUUUGACUCUACCAAUAUAUCAUUGCAUUUCAAUAUUUUUUAUUAUUCAAAUAUGCUUUAUAUAUGUUUCACAUUGGAUUUAAAUUAUUUUGUAUCCAUUUAUAUUAGUACAUGGAUUUGAUUCAUACACGUUAUUAAGCAUGUAUAUACAUUAUCUAAAUUUGCAUGUACUUACCUUUAGACACAUGCAUUCUUCCUUUUGAAUCCAUGCGUGUAUAUAUAUAUAAACCUUAUGUACAUUUUCAAAAAAAAAUAAAUAUACCUUGCACACAUUAGUAUGUUUUAGUCCAUUUUGUUUAUGUACAUGCAUAUUUUGUACUAAAGUUGGUUUCAUUUCACAUGUAUAUACUACUAUCAAUUCUUUUUCCUCGUAUUUUAUAUAAUCCUACGAAACACAUCUCUUAAAUUAUUAUUAUAUGUAUAUAUGUAUAUUAAUGCUUAUAUUUGAUCUAGGUAGAUAUUAUUUAAUUUAUGUAUUUUACAUAGUUUUCCUUAUUACAUAUAUGUAAGCACAUUCUUGAAGCUAUUAUAUAAUUUUUUUUAUAACAUUCAUUUAAGCAUGCAUGUAUUUCCAUGUUUUUACAAAUUAUUUAUAUAUACACAUAAUUUGUAGAACCCUUAUGUCUUUUGAAGACUAUAUCAUAUUAUACAUUUUUGUUAUUAUUAUUUGUAAUAUAUUUUACACAUAUUUUAAAUUUUUCAUACUAUAAAUCCUCAUUUUUUUAAAAAAACCAAUAUUAUGUUUUGGCAUGAUAUCUGAUUAAUAAAUUCAUUUUACAAUAUGUACCAAGUGUAUAUAUCCCUAGUUUUUUUUAAAUAGAUUUAAAGUGUCUCAAUUCAUUAAUUCGCAUGUUGUAUAAAUUAUUGGUUCAUUAGAUUGCCUUUGUUCUGACAUCGUUUUAUACUACUUUGACUCUUAAAUUCUAUUCCAUUUUGCACAUAUUUUGUCUGUUGUUCUAUAUUGUAGCAUAUACAUUAUCAUUGUGUGGUAUUCAUUCUAUUGAUAUGUCAAUUAUUAUUAGUACGCGAUUGAAAUUAGGUCAACUUAGAUUAAUUAUAUUUAAUUGCUUGUUCUGCUAAUUGAUUAAUAUUUUCAUUCAUUAAGCAUUGUAUCUCGUAUGCACAUAUUACCCCAUUCAUUGUUUUCCUUUUGAUUUUUGAAAUAUGGUUCUAAAACCCAAGUUUUAUGAUUAACUCCUCCUUAUUUAAAAUCGAAUUAAUACGUCCUAAGCUAGCUUUAUAAUCAUUCAUUCAAAAAUUCUUCAAAACAAAGACGAGAUUCGAUGUUUGACAAUUUGCGGAAUCGUGCCCUAACGUGUUGGGUUGCAAUUUCGCGUUUGCUCAAAAUAAUCGAGUAUCCCUUCAAAAUUUCAUUCAUAUCUUCUAAAAAUCAUUUAAAACGAAGGCAAUAUUUGGCGUUUGACAAUUCGAGAAUCAUGCCCUAUCGUGUUAGGUUGUGAUUUCUCGUUUGCUCAAAACGAUCAAACAUUUCUUUAUAUUCUCACUCAUGUUUAUAGAAAAUACUUAAAAACGAAGAUGAUGUUUUUGGCGAUUUGAGAAUCGUGCCCUAUCGUGUUGGGUUGCGCUUUUUCAUUGGUUCGAAACAAUUGAACAUCCCUUCGAAAUUUCACUCACAUUUUCUAAAAUCUUUCAAAAUAAAGAUGAUGUUCGAUGUUUGGCGAUUUGAGAAUCGAGCCCUAUCGUGUUGGGUUGCGCUUUUUCAUUUCUCCAAAAUGAUCGAAUAUCUCCUCAGAAUUUCACACGUAUUUUAUAAGGCAAGGCAAUGGUCGAUGUUUGGAAAUUCGAGGAAUCAUACCCUACUGUGCUGGGUUUCAAUUUUUCGUGGGACUAAAUAGUUGAGCAUCCUUUUGUAAUUCUCGAAUUAUAAGCUUUCGGACAUCAAAACAAGAAGAUUUUGGCAACCAACUCGGGUUACUCAAACACUUUUAAAAAGAACCACAUUUCAAAAAUAUUUUUAAUUUUAGACAUAAGGACAGUAAUUAAUCGAUUUGGUACCAAUUUUGGGCGUAGUGAGGGUGCUAAUCCUUCCUCAUACGUAACCGACUCUCGAACCUGCUUUCUCAAAGUUCGUAGACCAAAAUCAUUGUUUUAGUAAAUAAAAAAUGUUUUAUUAAAAUAACCCAAUUCUUAGAUGACCCGAUCACACCUAAACAAAAAGGGUUGGUGGCGACUCCAUGUUUUGUUUUCAAAAGUCGAUUCCCCCGUAUUUUCAUUAAAUUUAAAAAUUUUAAAAUAUUUGAAAAAUGGGUGGUUUCAACAUCUUGGCAACUCCACUGGGGAAGGAACUUGAGAGUCAAGCCAUAAAAAUCGAUUAUUUACUGUUCUUUUGUUAAAAGACCGAAAAUUUAUUUUAAAAAUCAUGUAUCUUUCGAUUGCAUUUGAUUGUAUGUUUGUGCAGGUCUUGUAGAAGAGCACUGCAUUCCAUUGCAUGACCACUGUGGUCACACCUUCUAAGUGGGAGUAAGAAACUACGUUUUUGUGAGGUUUUCACCUCCGCAUGGGCUAGUGGAUUGCUUCCGGGGUACAUCCGUACCUAUGAUUUUGUGAGAUUUUCAUCUCCGCAUGGUCAUAGGGAAAUGUAUCCCCCCGAACCGAACUCGAUCUAUAUAUGCCUAUAAUGGGUGAGAAUUGAGGAAUCUACUGGUUCGGGUACCCCUUUUCCUAGAACUAAACCACAUAUAGUGAACCUUAGGAGCUAUCCUUGGGUGAAGCUGCAUCGAGCCUUAGUACUUUUCCGUAUAUGUGUUAUAAUUAUCGUUUAUGUGCUUGCAUUCUAUUGCUAUUAUUUGAUACUAACCGGUGUUUUGUUUUGAUUGUCUUUCUUGCAUGACAUUGCAUACUAAAGGAGGCGUUAAUCCAUAUUCAAUUACUAAAUUAGAAAGUUUGACAUGGAGAAUGAAUUUCUUAGUAAAGUCGAGGAUAAUGCGGCCGUUCGUGCAUGGUCAGAGAGGCUACAAUCAGAGAGAGGGGAUAGCUUGGCAGAAGGGUAUGUGUCGGAGCUGCAGGAUUUCACUCGUGUCAAUGUAGUACAGAAUGAGCUGCAAGAGUUGAGAGACAUUUGGGCUAGUUGGAUGAAAGGAUCAAGCAGUUGUUUUACCAAGGUUAUGGUGACAUAUCCUACCUGCUAGACAUUAGAGUGGAUAAGCAUUUGUUCCGAGCCUUGUGCGGUUUUGGAAUUCUGCGUACAAGUGUUUAACUUUUGGAGAAGUGGAUUUGGUACCUACCAUGGAGGAAUACACUACUUUGCUCAGGUGUCCCAAAAUUCAGGUCCGAAAGACUUAUGCCCGGGUUUUUAGUAAUCAGGCUUUCGUAAAGAAGCUAAUGGGCAUUUCUGGGAUGAGCGAGCCUUGGGUCACUACUCGGAUUCAGCAAAAAGGAGAUAGCAAAUGUAUCCCUUGGGAGAAUUUGCGAGAUUUGAUCUUAACGCAUCUGGAUGAAAGAAAGGGGGUCGAUAUAUUUGCCUUAAGCAUCUACGGUUUAGUGAUCUUUCCUAAGGCUUUGAGGCACGUAGACAAGGCGGUCAUCGACUUGUUCGAUCGCCUUGAAAAGGGAAUCACACCGGUACCAGUAAUAUUGGCAGAAACGUUCAAAUCUUUAAGCUUAUGUCGGAAGACGGGCGAGGGGUGAUUUAUUGGAUGUGCUCAAUUAUUGAUGGUAUGGUUUUAUGGGCACUUUUGGAAGGUAGACAAGGUUUCCUAUUGAGUCUUUUUCGAAAGUUAUUCCCCUUUGAAAGAAGAGGCAGCUAUACAGAGGAGAGAGGAUAUCUCGGAGGAGAAGUGGAUGGAUAUUCUUCAAAACCUCAAGGAGGGGGAUAUCGAGUGGAGAGCUUAUUAGAUGGUUCCUGACGAUCAUGUAUCGAUGUGGUAACUUUGAUUGGGUGCCGUUGUUAGGAAUUUGGGGAGCUACCGAGUAUACUCCAUUACUAGCCUUGAGACAAUAUAAAUCAAGGAAAUUUGUACCCACGACUUGUGGGCUUGCUCAGAGUGAAUUCUUGUUUAAAGGUGCUCAUUAUAAGAAGAGAGUUCGGGAAUUAUCAGAUGCUUGGAAACAAACUUGUUGGAUGAAGAGGUUAGCCGUCGGUCCCAUGGUAACGCCCGAGUAUAACGAGUGGUUUAAAAAGAGGGUUAAUGAUAAUGUUCCUAGGCCAAGCUUGGAGAAUGCUCGACCUAUCGGGGAACAAUUACAAGUCGCCCCGUCAAAAUUGGAGAUUAUAAGGCAAGAUUUCGAGAAGAAGAGUUCGGAGCUUGGGAAGAAGAUCGAACAAUUGGAGGAAGAAAAGAUGCACCUAAGGUUAGAAGUUGAUAUCCAGAGGUCAGAGGCUGAAAAGUGGAGAAAAGGGAAAACUAAGGCCGAAGAGGAUCUAGACAGCUUGAAGAUGGACUACAAGAAGCUGCGCCUAUAUAUGAAAACUACGGGUUUAGGUAAAACUUUCGAACAAUGGAGCCAUGAAAUUCGAGAAGAAAAGGCCAAUACCAACCGGUGGGAAAGGAAAUUCCGAGAAGCUCAGGCACGAAACGAAGAUUUGGAGAAAAGUCUGUUGGAAAGCAGAAAUGAGCGAGGGGAAUUAAGGGCUAGAGUGGCAGAAAUUGAGAAGUCUCUACAUCAGUACCGAAACCGCAACACCGCAACAAAAUUGAGGCAAGCUUGAGCAAAAUACAAGAAAUGAAAGGAAGAAUAGAAGAGUUAGAAGCGUAAUUACAAAAUUGUGAGAUGCGGAUCUAGUUUUUCGAGGCAAACGAGGAUCGUUGGAAGGAGCAGCUUCACCAUGCGCAAGACCAAGUCAAAAACAGAGAUUACCUUAUGGGGAAAGCCAUAACCCAGAUUCGGGAGGUAGCGGACUACUUGCAAACUUUAGCGGUUCAGGCGGACACACUAAGCGUGAAAUAUGAGUUGGAGUCGGAGCGCGGACAAGAGCUGGCCUCGUUGCUUAGAAAAAUUAGGACUCUAAGUGUUAGAGCAAAAUCUUAUUUGUAACUCGACUUUAUGUAAAAGAUUUUAUUUUCAAGUAAAAUUUUCUAAGGGCAAUUGAAUCAAAAUGGAUGCCUCCUUUGCAUUCAUGCAUUUGCACUACACCAUAUCAUUAUGCAUUAAAGGCCAUAAGAGUUUUCUAAUUAAUUAAUUAAAAAUUAUUUCAGUAACCUAGAAACCAACGAAAACCAACCAACCACGCACCCCUACGGUACAAGAAAAAAAUCAAUGGAUAAGAAACUCGAGAAAUUGGAGCAAAUGCAAAAGGACAUGCAAGAUCAAAUGCAGUCUCAGAUGCAAGAGCAGCUAGCCAAGAUUCAACCAGAAAUGAAGGAGCAAAUGAUGGAGUCCCAGAGAGAAAUGAUGUCCCAGUUAUCCAAACUGCUGUUGGGAGGAACGGAUAAGGGAAAGGGCCCUAUGGACAAAGUUGAAGAAACUAAUGAGGAUCCUCAAUACCCCCCUGGCUUUACUCCGACACAUGUACCGAUGAAGCCCGAGAUUAAUCUACUGAAACCAUCUGUCACGAUCAUGCCCCAGCAAGUUCAGGCUGGAGCUUCAAUACCGAUGAACCUCCAAACUGGCUCAGGCUCUAACUUUGUCAACAACCCGAACUAUCCGCCCGUUCCCGACUUGGAUGAAAUUGCUAAGAAGAAAAGGCGAUGAUGGAUUCGCAAAAACAAUUGGAAGAACGGUGUAGAUGGAUCGAGGAGAAAUUCAAAGCCAUGGAAAGCGCAGAUCAUCAUCAAGGGAUUGAUGCCAAAGACCUGAGUCUAGUCCCAGACUCAGUCCUUCCCCCUAGAUUCAAAGUGCCCGAAUUCGAGAAAUACAAUGGAACGAGCUGCCCUGAAGCCCACAUCACUAUGUUCUGCAGGCGAAUGAUAGGAUAUGUUAACAAUGACCAGCUAUUAAUCCACUGCUUUCAAGAUAGUCUGGUCGGGGCGGCGUCUAAGUGGUACAACCAAUUAAGCCGAGCUAAAAUUAACUCAUGGAAGGACCUAGCUCAGGCCUUUAUGAAGCAAUACAGUCAUGUGAUGGACAUGACCCUCGACAGAAUCACUCUCCAGAAUAUGGAGAACAAGUCAAAUGAAAGCUUCAGACAGUACGCACAAAGGUGGAGAGAAGUGGCCAUACAAGUUCAGCCGCCGCUUCUAGAAAAAGAGACGACAAUGCUCUUUAUUAACACCUUGAAAGCCCCUUUUAUCACGCAUAUGUUAGGAAGUGCCACCAAGAGCUUCUUUGACAUAGUGAUGAUGGGGGAAAUGAUUGAAAAUGCUGUAAGGAGCGGCAAGAUAGAAUCAGGAGAGAGCGCUAGGAAGUCAGCCUCGAGGAAAAGAGACAAUAAAGUGAACAACAUGAGCACAUCUAACACAGGUCAGUCCAAGUCAUUCACCAUAAAUCAACCCAAGGCGGUGACCACCAAGCAGCAAAGCUCUGUAAGACAAGAAUCUAACGCGAGGGAGAACCCAAAAAGGCCACAAUUCACCCUUAUACCCAUGACAUAUAGGGAGUUGUACCAGAACCUGUUCAACGCUCAUGUGGUGUCCCCUUUCUACCUUAAGCCACUACAGCCCCCGUAUCCCAAAUGGUAUGACACAAACGCCCAAUGUGAAUACCACGCGGGAAUCACCGGGCACUCUAUCGAAAACUGCGCUGCGUUUAAAAAAUUAGUCGAAAGACUCAUUAAGAUGGGGAUCGUGAGAUUUGACGACCCAGCCACACCCAAUGUAGCAGGAAACCCACUCCCCAAUCAUACCGACCAAGGAGUGAAUGGGAUAAGUGAAGGCUUGAACAAGAAGACCAAGUAUGAAGUGGCAGAAGUCAGAACCCCGUUGAGGCAGAUAUGGAAGGAGAUGGCCAAGAGAGGAUUGAUCGCGUUGGAUUCGAGGGAAGAAUCCGAAGAAGAGAGAAACUACUGUGAGUUUCACGAUGAUGUGGGGCAUGAAAUCCAAGAUUGCCUGGAGUUUAGGGCCCUAGUACAAAACAUGAUGAACAAUAAGGAAAUAGAAUUCUAUGAAGAGAUUGAAGACCCCGUAGAGGGAGAUAUAUGAGCAUCGGAGGGAGAAUCGAAGGCGCAGAAUCAAAUGACCAACUUCCCUGUGGUUAUCAUAUCGAGACCCAAAAAUAAUAAAGCUGGAGUACAAAUGCCACCGAGGGUCUUAAUCUAAAGACCUGCAGUCUUCCCUUACAAGGAUAGCAAAAAGGUUCCAUGGAAUUAUGAUUGCAGUGUGAUGAUGCCGGGGAAAGAAAGCCUCGUGGAUACUUCAAAAGAGGGUCAAGACAAGGGCUCCUAUACACGUAGCGGGAGACGUUACAAUGCAGCAAAUGAUGAGGUACAACCCGUAAAAGGAAAAGCUCCAAUAGCUGAGGAAAUGAAAGAAAAAGCAACCAAACCUGUUAACGAGCCAGUUAACGAAGAGGAGGCCAAGGAGUUUUUAAAAUUCCUAAAGCAUAGCAAAUACAGUGUGGUGGAACAGCUACGUAAACAACCAGCCUGCAUUUCAGUGCUGGCCUUGCUUCUAAGCUCGGAAGUUCAUCGUAGCGCACUAAUGAAGGUCUUAAACGAGACAUAUGUUGCCAACGAUAUCUCCGUUAACAAGCUAGACCGUUUGGUGAGCAACAUAAGUGCCAACAAUUAUAUCUUCUUUAAUGACAACGAGAUACCACCCGGGGGCAUGGGGUCGACUAAAGCUCUGCAUAUCACCACACGCUGUAAAGGGUAUACGCUGCUAGGCAUAUUGAUCGACAAUGGAUCGGCCUUGAACGUCCUGCCAUUGACCACGCUGAACAAAUUACAUAUAGACAGCUCUCACAUGAAGGAGUGCCAGAACAUCGUGAAGGCAUUCGAUGGCACGGAGAGAAAGGUGAUGGGCAGAAUCGAGGUACCUCUUUAGAUUGGGCCAAACACAUAUGAGGUGGAUUUUCUCGUGAUGGAUAUCAAGCCCUCAUAUAAUUGCUUAUUGGAGAGGCCCUGGAUACAUUCAGCUGGGGCAGUGCCUUCCUCGUUGCAUCAAAAAUUGAAGCUGGUAUCGGAGGGGAGGUUGAUAACGAUCAAGGCCGAAGAGGAUAUUAUUGCAACUGUGAGCAACAACGUACCCUAUUUGGAGACGGAUGAUGAAGCAAUCAAAUGCUCAUUUCGAUCUUUAGAAUUUGUUAAUGCGACGUUCAUCGCUGGGGGAAGCAAAAUUCUGGUGCCGAAAUUGUCCAAAACCACGAAAAUGAGCCUUCAGUUGACGAUUGGAAAAGGAGCCCUACCCGGAAAGGGACUUGGGAGACAUCUACAAGAAAGGACUGAAACGUUAAUGCUGAAAGACAAGAGAGACCGCUUCAACUCUGGAUUUAAGCCGGAUGUGAAACAAAGGAUAAGGGAGCUGGAAAAGAAGCAAGAAAGAAGGAGAGCUCGAUUAACGGGGGAGGAAAUCAAGUGGGAACCAAUGAUAUUCCCCCAUAUAUCGAAAACAUUUGUGUCUGGGGGAAUCAUUCAUCCCGAGAAAGACACGCCAAUGACGGGAGCUAUAGAGAAAGGUUAAAAAGCUUGGACAUCAACGUCAUGUAAGAAGAGGAGGCUGGAAGAGAAAUUUUAUCGGACAUUGGCCCCUACACACCUGAAAGUGUUCUGGACAACUGGACUGUGGAAGAGAUCCCUGUAGUUUUUAGAACAAAUUCAGAGUAAUGUCCAAAACACACUAAUUGCUCUAGGCCUAGGAGUGAUAAGGAUCUUUUGUGAAAUAGGCUGAUGUUUAAAAAUGUUGUUUCAAUAAAAUGCACGGUUAUUAUCAUUUUUGAGCAAAUGUUCUCUCGUCCUCUCAAUUUCAUUCAUAACCAUACAAAUGAUUACUUUUGGAUUCUUUUAUCCUUGAAACAUACUUCUAAAUAUUCUUUCAUUCGUCAUUCAUAAUCAUACCACGCAAAUAAAUGUUUUGACUUCUUUUGAUUCUUUGUAUCUGCCUUCAUCCUCAUAACAAGUCCCCAGAUAUUAAUGAUACGAGUAACACUGUUAGCGACUUAGAAUUUCCUUUCGAGCAAGAUGUGUGUAUGGAUGAUUCUCAAGAUUUUGAAGAUGACCAAGGCUGUAACCUAUCUCUUGAUUUGUUAAGGAUGGUAGAACAAGACGAGAAACAAAUCCUACCUCACAAAGAAUCAGUUGAAAUUGUGAGCUUAGGAGAAGGACAAGAGGUGAAGAUCGGAACAUGUAUCACUACGGAAAUAACGCGAGACCUCAUUGAACUACUUCAAGAAUUCAAAGAUGUCUUCGCAUGGUCAUACCAAGAUAUGUCCGGGUUGGACAAUGAUAUCGUGGUGUACCGACUUCCCAUAAAAGAAUAGUGUAAGCCAGUUCAGCAAAAACUCUGAAGAAUGAGGCCCAACGUCUUGCUAAAAAUAAAAGAAGAGGUUCGAAAGCAGUUCGAUGCCAGAUUCCUGAAGGUAGUAAAAUACUCAGAUUGGGUAGCCAACAUCGUCCCCGUCCCUAAGAAAGAUGGAAAAGUGCGAAUGUGUGUGGACUACAAAGAUUUGAAUAAAGCCAGCCUGAAAGACAAUUUCCCACUACCUCAUAUCGACACCCUAGUGGACAACACGGCAGGACACUCACUAUUUUCAUUCAUGGACGGUUUUUUCGAAUAUAACCAGAUCAAGAUGCAUUCUGGAGAUAUGGAAAAGACCAUAUUUGUAACCGUGUGGGGCACGUUCUGCUACAAGAUGAUGCCGUUUGGACUGAAGAAUGCGGGGGAAACUUAUCAAAGAGCCAUGGUAACCCUUUUUCACGACAUGAUGCAUAAAGAAAUCGAGGUUUAUGUCGAUGAUAUGAUCGCUAAGUCUCGAACAGAGAAGGAACACAUGCAAGUCCUGAGGAAAUUGUUCUUGAGGUUGAGGAAGUUUCAGCUAAAACUCAACCCCGCCAAAUGUACCUUUGGAGCCAAGUCCGAAAAGUUGCUCGGAUUCGUGGUUAGUGAGAAAGGGAUUGAGAUCGAUCCAGACAAAGUUAAAACCAUACAAGAGCUAUCCCCACCGCACACUCAGAAAGAAGUUCGAGGCUUUCUAGGAAGAUUAAAUUACAUUACUCAAUUCAUUUCACAACUGACUGAGAAAUGUGACCCUAUCUUUCGCCUCUUCAAGAAACAUAACCCAGGUGAAUGGGAUGAAGAAUGCCAAAGGGCUUUCGACAAGGUCAAACAGUACUUAUCCAACGCCCCGGUACUAAUGCCACCUAGCCCCGAUAAGCCGUUGAUACUGUACUUAGCAGUAUUCGAGAAUUCCAUGGGAUACGUAUUGGGUCAGCAUGAUAAGUUAGGAAGGAAAGAGAAGGCCAUUUACUAUCUUAGUAAAAAGUUCACAGAAUGUGAGACAAGGUACCCGCCGAUAGAGAAGUUGUGUUGUGCCUUAAUUUGGACAACCCGAAGGCUGAGGCAGUAUAUGUUGUAUCACACCACUUGGCUCAUAUCAAAAUUGGACCCUUUAAAGUACAUGAUGGAGUCAACUGUCUUGAAUGGAAGGAUGACCCGAUGGCAGAUUCUACUUUCUGAAUUCGACAUAGUCUAUGUGAACCAGAAAGCAGUAAAAUGAAGUGCAAUAGCAGAUUUUUUGGCCAGUAGACCUUUGGAAGACUACGAGCCUUUGAAAUUCGACUUCCCGAAUGAAGACCUAAUGUGUGUUGCUACCACUGAAGAGGGGGCUCUGGAAGAACUUCCUUGGAAACUGAUGUGGGCAAUAGAAUUGGGGCCGUCUUGGUAUCCCCAAAUGGAGAUCAUUAUCCAUUCACUAGUAAAUUGGAUUUUAAUUGUACGAAUAACAUGGCAGAAUACGAAGCGUGCAUCAUGGGUAUCCGCGCAGCCAUAGAUCGCAAGAUUAAAGUUCUAGAGGUGUUCGGGGAUUCUGCGCUAAUGAUUUAUCAACUCAAGGGAGAAUGGAAGACCAGAAACCCCAAGUUAAUCGAUUAUCGGAAGCUAGUCCUUGAAUUGAUUAAAGAGUUUGAUGACAUCACCUUCCACUACCUUCCACGAGAUGAAAAUCAGAUGGCUGAUGCUUUGGCUACCCUAGCCUCCAUGAUCAAGGUGAACAAACAAGAAGAUGUCAAACCCAUCCAGAUGAGCAUUUAUGAAGUUCUGGCCCACUGUUACAAUAUAGAAGAAGACGAAGAGAAAGAUGAUCACCCUUGGUAUCACGAUAUAAUACAAUACGUGAAGAAUCGUGAGUACCCGGACCAGGCAAGCGAGAAUGACAAAAGAACGAUAAGAAGAUUGGCCAUUAACUAUGUCUUAGAUGGGGAUAUCCUGUACAAAAGAAGAAAGGAUCAAGUGCUACUAAGAUGUGUAGACACUGUAGAGGCUAAGAAAAUCUUGGAAGAAGUCCGUGAAGGCGUCUGUGGGACACAUGCUAAUGGCUUUACAAUGGCCAGGCAAAUUAUGAGGUUCGGGUACUAUUGGUCCACCAUAGAAGGAGACUGUGUCAAUCACGCUAAGAGAUGCCAUAAGUGCCAAAUCUACGGAGACAAAAUUCAUGUGCCUCCUUCACCGCUGCAUGUCAUGGUUUCUCCAUGGCCAUUCUCUAUAUGGGACAUAGAUGUAAUUGGACCAAUAUCGCCUAAAGCUUCCAAUGGGCAUCGGUUCAUCUUCGUGGUUAUCGACUAUUUCACCAAAUGGGUAGAAGCCGCUUCCUAUGCUAGUGUUACAAAGUCAGCAGUAAGCAGGUUCCUGAAAAAAGAGAUCAUAUGUCGAUACGGAAUGCCGAAGAGGAUCAUAUCUGACAAUGCAUUAAACCUAAACAAUAGUACGAUAGCGGAAGUCUGCAGUCAAUUCAAGAUCAGACAUCACAACUCGUCACCAUAUCGCCCGAAAAUGAACGGGCCAGUGGAAGCAGCCAAUAAAAAUAUUAAGAAAAUCAUGGGGAAGAUGACCGAGACUUAUAGAGACUGGCAUGAAAAGUUACCGUUUGCCCUCUUUGCUUAUCGAACGUCAGUCAAAACCUCAACUAGGGCAACCCCUUUCUCUUUGGUCUACGGAAUGGAAGCGGUGUUGCUGAUCAAAGUUGAGAUCCCGUCACUUCGAGUGUUCUCGGAGUUAAUGUUGGAAGAAGUCGAGUGGAUCCAGUCUCGAUAUGAUCAAUUGAACCUAAUUGAGAAAAAAGGUUAAGAGCUAUCCGUCAUGGUCAGAUGUACCAAAAGCGAAUGAUGCGAGCUUAUAACAAAAAGGUUCACCCUAGGGAAUUCCACGAGGGAGACCUGGUUUUGAAAAAGAUCCUUCCCAUAUAGAAGGAUUUUCGAGGGAAAUGGAUGCCUAAUUGGGAAGGGCCUUACGUGGUGAAGAAAGCUUUCUCCGGAGGAGCAUUGAUUCUAGCCGAGAUGGACGGCAGAAACUUGCCCAAUCCUGUAAAUUUGGAUUCGGUCAAGAAGUAUUUUACCUGAAGAAAGAGAGGCCAGAGUGAAAAACUGCAAAGGACGCUCUGAAAUAAAAAAAAACGAAGAGGCCAAGGUGAAAACUCGCAAAGGGCACUUUGGAACCAAAGGGGCUUUUGAGUUGAAAACCCGAAAAACGGGCAGCUCAAAUUUUGAAUAUGGGGCAUAUGGUAGUCUUGUCCCACCAAAAUCAACGAGACAGAAGAACAGUACACCUCGGAGCAUCAAAAAAAUACGAAGAAUCUCCUGAAUACACAUUUGGUUCGAAGGAGCCUUUGAGAAAUUGGAAUAGUGAAACUCGUGCUGCGAUAUCUGGGGCACCUCUUUUCUCAUUUUUUGCACCUUAUCAGACUCGUUAUCCUAUGUAUUCACAUCAAAUUUUGCUUAAUAAAAUUCCAUAUUGUCCAUUAUGAUAAUCUCUUUCGAGCAUUUCUGUUGAAAUCGUGAUUUUUGGACACGUAAUAUUUACACAAAAGCUGUUAUGCAUAUUACUCUGGAAAAGUCUCUAAAUAGCGCAAGGACCUGAAACAGGGCCACUAGUCAGAACUAACCAGGUUCAAAGUUGAAAAACAUUGGAAAAAGAGUAAUCCAAAUUAGGAUUAUUCCUUCAAAUUUUCUGUCAGAAAUAACGGCUAAGCAAGAAGACGCGAUAUGUGACACCCCUAAAGUGACCCUAGUCGAAAAGUGGUUUCGGGACCACUAAACCGAGUCAUAAAGAUAAUUAACCGUCAUAGUUGAUGCUCAUUAUAUGUACAUAUGCAUGUGUGAAAAUUUCAUGUUUGAAUUUUGUUAAUAGUAAGUGAAUUUUAGUAAAUAGGACUUAUGUGAGAAAAUUUUGAAAUGUGAUAGGUCAAAGCAUAAGGAUCUAUUAGUGCAUGAAAUAAAAAGGGGGGACUUGCAUGUCAAUUUCCCCCCUAAUUAGUAGUGGCCGGCCAUGACAAGUAUGGUAGACCAAGUGUGAUGGGCAAGAACAUGUCAUAAACAUGUUAAGUUAGUGUUUCAUGGGAAGUAUGAUAAAAUAAGGAGCAUGGGAAUAAAAUAAUGAAAGGGAAUAUGAUGAAAACAAAAAAAAAAGUGUGUGGUUGUUCCCCCAUUUUGCCGAAACUAGAAAAAAAAAAAAGAAAGGCUUCAUCCUUUGGUUCUUCUUGGCCGGUUUGAAAGGAGGAAGAAGAGAGGUUUCGGUCACCUUGAGCUUAAGGGGAGGUUAGUAUGUUGUGUUAAAUUCUUAAGUUUUAAACUUGUUUCUAGUUAAUUAGCAAAUUUCUUACACAAACCAUGGCAAAAUUUUGAAAUCUCGGUGAUGGCUUGAGCAUUCGGUUUUGGUUGUUGAAAGGAAUGAGUUGGAGGUUGGAUCAUGUUAAGAUUCGGCCUUGUACAUAAACAUUAAGAGUUUGAUGUUUUUGCGAUUUUUGGAAGGUAAAUAAGGUUAUACACAAGAUAAAUACUAAGAUUUUGGUUGACUUGUUUUAGUGAGGUUCGGCCAAGGACCUUAUGUGCAAGUUUAUUCGGUUUAAGUAGAGAUAACGUGACGGGUAGAUAUGAAGUAAUGUGUAUAUUGGUUCGGCUGCUAAGCAAGGAAAUAAUUGUUAGUAACAUAGUAUCUAUGCACUUAUGUAUAUAUAUGUAUGUACAAAUAACCUAUUUAGCUAUGGAUAUCUAAGGUGUUAAAUAAUGAAAUUCUUGAUGACUUGGGUUCAAUAGCAUUUGGCCAAGGACUAUAUGGGCUUGUUAAUUCGGUUUAAGUGAAGAAACUAUGAUAGAGAAAUAUGACUAAAUUGUGGACUUUGACAAUUUAAAUGAUGCAUUUGACUUGUGUACCGACCUAGGACGAUAUGUGUUUCUAUAUGAAGUUAGAUGGUGUUGAUGAAGUUCGGUAAUGCAUGAUGUUUAAAUAGUAUUGAGCAAGGUCAUUGUACUUAAAUUGUAUGACAUACAUGUAUUGAAUGGAAUUGCCCAAGUGAAAAUAUUAAAUGAAUUUAUUUGUUUAAAUUAAGCUCAAGAGCAAAGGGGAUCUAAAUCCGAUAAAGGGAAGGAAAAAAGUGAUCGAAUAGCUGCCGAAAUCGUUCGACCACAUCCGAGGUAAGUUUUAAGUGUUUAAACGUUGAGUAAAUUCAAUUAUAAUAGGACAUGAUGAGUUGAUUUAAUAAGAUAUGAUGUGGCCAUGAUAUGUUCUAAGCUCAAAUGGUAAGUUCUUAAGUGUUUGAGCUUGGGAAUUUAAGGGUAAUUUGAAAUAGUCUGCUUAGGACAGCAGCAGUAACGUGACUUUAGAAAAUCACCAUAAAUUUAUGGAUUUGAAUUAGAGGCUGAAUGAGACAUGAAAUUAAAGCUUAAUGAGUCUAGUUUCUUAUAAAAGAAACCGUGUAAGCAAAGGAAUUUCCGAUAAUGAGAUACUUAAAGUUGUGUGAGACAGCGCAGAAUGACACUGUAAUCCUCUGUUCUGUUUUUAGAAAAUCAUUAUAAAUUGUACAAAAAUGGUUAUAAGAUAAAAUUUAUAUGAUUAGACUCCUUAAUGAGUCUAGUUUCAAAUGAACUCAAAUAAAACACAUUUUGAAUUCUGUAAAAUUAGAAAUUUGAUUCGUAGUGAAGAGUGGUCAGAUUAGUCAAACAGUGAAAUAGGGGAAAAUUUAAGAAAAAUCUGGUAUUGAUUGGCCAAACCUAAAAUUCUGAAAAUUUUAUGGAUGGAAGAUAUACGAGUAUAUAUUUAGGGAAAAUUAACGUCAAGUGAUUUGGAGUUUUUUAGCUCCAGUUAUAAAUGAUUUAGUGACUACUGCUCAGGAAAACAGCUCGUAGUGAAUAUGUGAUUUUGUUGUAAACAUGGAUAAAACUUGUUUUAGUUACUCAUAAGCUAUUGAUUAAACCCAUACGUGAAUUCUAAAUCGUGAUAUUGUAAAAUGAUACAUGAGUGUUAGAUGGAUCUUUGAUAUUAAAAUUUGUGAAAUUGUAAGUUUAUGAGUAUUCGAAUAUGAAAUGAUAGUAUGGCGUGAAAUUGAAUUAUUCAUUGGGAAAUGAUUAAUGUAGAUUCGGCCAAGACAAAGUGUAUACAUGAUAGUAUAUGUGAUAAGGCCGAAUGGCCAAUGUGAUGAAUGUGAAAGUGUAUAAAUAUGUGAUAAGGCCUAAUGGCCGAUGUGAUGAAUGUGAAAGUGUAUAUAUAUGUGAUAAGGCCUAAUGGCCGAUGUGAUGAAUGUGAAAGUGUAUAUAUGUGAUAAGGCCUAAUAGCCGAUGUGUUAUGAAUGUGAAAGUGUAUAUAUGUGAUAAGGCCGAAUGGCCAAUGUGAUGAAUGUGAAAGUGUAUAUAUAUGUGAUAAGGCCUAAUGGCCGAUGUGAUGAAUGUGAAAGUGUAUAUAUGUGAUAAGGCCUAAUAGCCGAUGUGAUGAAUGUGAAAGUGUAUAUAUGUGAUAAGGCCGAAUGGCCAAUGUGAUGAAUGUGAAAGUGUAUAUAUAUAUGUGAUAAGGCCUAAUGGCCGAUGUGAUGAAUGUGAAAGUGUAUAUAUAUGUGAUAAGGCCUAAUGGCCGAUGUGAUGAAUGUGAAAGUGUAUAUAUGUGAUAAGGCCUAAUGGCCGAUGUGAUGAAUGUGAAAGUGUAUAUAUGUGAUGAGGCCUAAUGGCCGAUGUGAUGAAUGUGAAAGUGUAUAUAUGUGACAGGGCCGAGUGGCCAACGUGAUGGAUGUGAAAGUGUAUAAAUGUGAUAAGUCCCGAAGGGCAAUUGUGUCAGUACUAUAUCCGGGUUAAAACCCCGCAGGCUUUAUGCGAGAGUAUUAUCCUGAUUAAUGUCCGUAGGCUUCGUGCUCGUACUAUAUCCGAGCUUUAAAGACCCGACGGCUAAAUGCUAGGAUUCAAGUAAGAUUUUGAUAUUGAGUAUCUGCAUUAAGUUACCAUCAAAUAAGUAUUAUGUAUUCAAGAUGUUCAGGUACGUAUUACUUACUCAUCGGUGGAGUGAUUUCGAGGUGAAUUAUCAGUAUCAAAGAGGUAGGUAAAUGUGAUUAAUAUUAUAACUCCAAAUGUGAGAAUGUGCUUUGGAAAUAUUUGACCAUCUAGGUCAUUAUUAUUCGAAAGUAUAUAUGUGGCAGCCAAGUGUUGCGUUUAAUGAUAUUAUAGAUCGAGAUGAAGCUCUAGAUUAACUUCAUCGAACAGUUGAAAUGAAUGACCAAUAAUAGUGAUUGAGAACACUUUGUCUUGCUUAAAACUUACUAAGCAUUAAAUGCUUACUCCGUUUCUUUGAUUCUCUGUUUUAUAGAUUUUGGUUCUUCAGCUAUCGGACUCGGGAUUUUGAAGUCGAAGUCGCCCACACUAUCAAAGCCCCCUUUUGGUACACUUUUGGUUGAACUCUGAAAAUGGCAUGUAUAGGACUACCCUUUUUGUAGUGGGUCAUGGACCCUUUGGAUUUGUAUAAUUUUGGAUAGCCAUGCGAAAAUGGCUUAUAUAUGUUUGAGCAUAAUGUUAUACUCAUUUGGUAUAGAUAUGCUUAACAAGGAUUGGCCAUGGGAAUGGUUAAUCACUAUCAUAAUUUGUGCUAUUUAUGCUAAAAGGGCUAGUUGAAUCAUGGAAACUAUGAAAUAGGUAAAGUCUACCUUAAAGGCAGAUGCUGACAGCAGCAGUGAUGUAGAUUUGGAAAAUCACUAAAAAUAGUAGGAAUGAAAUUAAAUAGUGAAUAAAUUAUGAAAACGAACCUUGAUGAAUCUAUUUUCAUAGAAAAGUAACGAAACGUUCAUAUAAACAGUAUAUUAUGAGAUGCUAAAGUUUUCGUGAGACAGGGCCAGAACGGUUUCUGGAUUCCCUGUUCCGACUUUGGAAAUUAAUUAUAAAUUAACCAGAGAUAAUUAGAAGUCAUGCCAUAUAUGAAUAGAUUCCUUUUUGAGUCUAGUUUCUAUAGAAACAAACUACAUCAGUAUUGAAGCCCUGUACAGGGAGAUAUCCAAGUCGUAAUGCGAAAAGGUCAGUGUAGUCAAUCCCUGUAACAUGGGAGACUUUGACUAAUAAACUGUACUAAUUGGCCUGACCAAAAAUUCUAGAAAAAAAUUUGUAGAUGCAUAUAUGAGUCUAGUUUCAGGGAAAAAUCACGAAGCUGAUUUUCGAGUUGUGAAACUCAAGAUAUGAUUUUUAAGGUGACAGUGAUGCAGUUAGCCAGCUUGCCUGGAAAAUUUAAAAUGGACUGCAAUAGUAAGCGAAUUUAGUCUGUGAACCCCUCGUGUCCGACUCCGGCAACGGUCUCGGGUACGGGGUGUUACACGAUAGCACAUCAAUGAUGGGACCCGGGUGAAUUAUGAGCAAUGACACCUUAAGCAUUUUAAAAGGAAUCACUAUCAUAACAAUUCUACAUUCAUAAUCAUUCAUUUAGUUAGGAGCACUUGAUUCACUUCGAUCAUAGCAUCCUAGUUAUUUGACAUACACAGAUACAGGAAACCCAUUAUACACAUCAUGUCUUUAGAAGGCAGUGUAGCUGCAUUGGCGAAUCCUGCAGAUUUGGCAUCUCUGUAUUGGCGGAGAGCAGAUCGAAGAUAGCAGAUUUUGCAUCUCUGUAUUGGCAGAGGGCAGAUCGAAGAUAGCAAAUUUGGUGUCUCUGUAUUGGCGAAGAGCAGAUCGAAGAUAGCAGAUUUGGCAUCUCUGUAUUGGCGGAGAGCAGGUCGAAGAUAGCAGAUUUGGAAUCUCUGUAUUGGCGGAGAGCAGAUUGAAGAUUCCAGAUUUGGCGUCUCUGUAUUGGCGAAGAGCAGAUCGAAGAUAGCAGAUUUGGCAUCUCUGUGUUGACAAAGAACAAAUCGAAGACGACGAAUUUCGGCUUCCUGAAGUUACAAUGAAGCAGAUUUAAGCCACCAUCCUAGCUCCCUAAUGAUGUAGUGGAGUAGGCCGGAGAUUACAUAUCUCGUCUCCAAUGGAGCAGGUCAAAGUCACUCGAAGAAAAGAAGGACCAAAGAAAUCAUGAUUCCGUAAAAACCGGGCAAAAUUAACCCUCUUUGAAGUCUUUGCUCUAUUCCCGUUACACGACAAUGAGCAAAGAGGGGUAGUUGUAAUGGGCCAAUUUAGCCCGGGCCCGUAUAAACACAAAACCAAAAAAUAACAAACAAAAUAUAUCAACAGCCCAAUAAAAGCCCAUCGGUCCAAGUUACAUAACCCAACUUUAAAACCAAAAUGAAUCAACCCAUUUACAAAUAAAUCUGAGCCCAAAUGCGAUGGGCCCAAGUGGCCCAAGAUUAGGGCAGAACCUUAGCAGCUUGUGUACGCCGCAGCAACCAGCAACCCCAGCAUCCUCCUGGCGCCACGCACGCUCCCGUACACACGCCAGAACCACCUCUUAAUUUCCCCUCUUGUUUUAGUUUAAUUUCGAUUAAGUCCCUUAGUUCGUAGCCCUUUUGUGUGUUCUUAAUUAAUUAUUUUUAAUUUUAAGUCAUGGCUAUUCCAUUGUUAUAAACUGUUCUCUUUUAGCAAUCCUAGCAUCAUGUUUUGUACAUUUCAAAUAUUUGUUUCAUGUACAUUAUUAUAUACGUACGUAUAUAUAUUAUAUAAUAAUGUUAAUUUAUUUUUAUACAUAAUGGCUUUUGACUCUACCAAUAUAUCAUUGCAUUUCAAUAUUUUUUAUUAUUCAAAUAUGCUUUAUAUAUGUUUCACAUUGGAUUUAAAUUAUUUUGUAUCCAUUUAUAUUAGUACAUGGAUUUGAUUCAUACACGUUAUUAAGCAUGUAUAUACAUUAUCUAAAUUUGCAUGUACUUACCUUUAGACACAUGCAUUCUUCCUUUUGAAUCCAUGCGUGUAUAUAUAUAUAAACCUUAUGUACAUUUUCAAAAAAAAAUAAAUAUACCUUGCACACAUUAGUAUGUUUUAGUCCAUUUUGUUUAUGUACAUGCAUAUUUUGUACUAAAGUUGGUUUCAUUUCACAUGUAUAUACUACUAUCAAUUCUUUUUCCUCGUAUUUUAUAUAAUCCUACGAAACACAUCUCUUAAAUUAUUAUUAUAUGUAUAUAUGUAUAUUAAUGCUUAUAUUUGAUCUAGGUAGAUAUUAUUUAAUUUAUGUAUUUUACAUAGUUUUCCUUAUUACAUAUAUGUAAGCACAUUCUUGAAGCUAUUAUAUAAUUUUUUUUAUAACAUUCAUUUAAGCAUGCAUGUAUUUCCAUGUUUUUACAAAUUAUUUAUAUAUACACAUAAUUUGUAGAACCCUUAUGUCUUUUGAAGACUAUAUCAUAUUAUACAUUUUUGUUAUUAUUAUUUGUAAUAUAUUUUACACAUAUUUUAAAUUUUUCAUACUAUAAAUCCUCAUUUUUUUAAAAAAACCAAUAUUAUUUUUUGGCAUGAUAUCUGAUUAAUAAAUUCAUUUUACAAUAUGUACCAAGUGUAUAUAUCCCUAGUUUUUUUUAAAUAGAUUUAAAGUGUCUCAAUUCAUUAAUUCGCAUGUUGUAUAAAUUAUUGGUUCAUUAGAUUGCCUUUGUUCUGACAUCGUUUUAUACUACUUUGACUCUUAAAUUCUAUUCCAUUUUGCACAUAUUUUGUCUGUUGUUCUAUAUUGUAGCAUAUACAUUAUCAUUGUGUGGUAUUCAUUCUAUUGAUAUGUCAAUUAUUAUUAGUACGCGAUUGAAAUUAGGUCAACUUAGAUUAAUUAUAUUUAAUUGCUUGUUCUGCUAAUUGAUUAAUAUUUUCAUUCAUUAAGCAUUGUAUCUCGCAUGCACAUAUUACCCCAUUCAUUGUUUUCCUUUUGAUUUUUGAAAUAUGGUUCUAAAACCCAAGUUUUAUGAUUAACUCCUCCUUAUUUAAAAUCGAAUUAAUACGUCCUAAGCUAGCUUUAUAAUCAUUCAUUCAAAAAUUCUUCAAAACAAAGACGAGAUUCGAUGUUUGACAAUUUGCGGAAUCGUGCCCUAACGUGUUGGGUUGCAAUUUCGCGUUUGCUCAAAAUAAUCGAGUAUCCCUUCAAAAUUUCAUUCAUAUCUUCUAAAAAUCAUUUAAAACGAAGGCAAUAUUUGGCGUUUGAAAAUUCGAGAAUCAUGCCCUAUCGUGUUAGGUUGUGAUUUCUCGUUUGCUCAAAACGAUCAAACAUUUCUUUAUAUUCUCACUCAUGUUUAUAGAAAAUACUUAAAAACGAAGAUGAUGUUUUUGGCGAUUUGAGAAUCGUGCCCUAUCGUGUUGGGUUGCGCUUUUUCAUUGGUUCGAAACAAUUGAACAUCCCUUCGGAAUUUCACUCACAUUUUCUAAAAUCUUUCAAAAUAAAGGUGAUGUUCGAUGUUUGGCGAUUUGAGAAUCGAGCCCUAUCGUGUUGGGUUGCGCUUUUUCAUUUCUCCAAAAUGAUCGAAUAUCUCCUCGGAAUUUCACACGUAUUUUAUAAGGCAAGGCAACGGUCGAUGUUUGGAAAUUCGAGGAAUCAUACCCUACUGUGCUGGGUUUCGAUUUUUCGUGGGACUAAAUAGUUGAGCAUCCUUUUGUAAUUCUCGAAUUAUAAGCUUUCGGACAUCAAAACAAGAAGAUUUUGGCAACCAACUCGGGUUACUUAAACACUUUUAAAAAGAACCACAUUUCAAAAAUAUUUUUAAUUUUAGACAUAAGGACAGUAAUUAAUCGAUUUGGUACCAAUUUUGGGCGUAGUGAGGGUGCUAAUCCUUCCUCAUACGUAACCGACUCUCGAACCUGCUUUCUCAAAGUUCGUAGACCAAAAUCAUUGUUUUAGUAAAUAAAAAAUGUUUUAUUAAAAUAACCCAAUUCUUAGAUGACCCGAUCACACCUAAACAAAAAGGGUUGGUGGCGACUCCAUGUUUUGUUUUCAAAAGUCGAUUCCCCCGUAUUUUCAUUAAAUUUAAAAAUUUUAAAAUAUUUGAAAAAGGGGUGGUUUCGACAAAAGGUAUAUCCCUUUUCUUUUUAUUUUCUACUAUAUUUGCACGUAUUUAAAGAGAAAAAUAAUAAUCACCUGAGUAUUCUUUCUUGACUGUCGAUUUUUAGUAUAAAAAAUGAGCUCUAUUUUUUAUUGAAUCUCUGUGUAUCUAUCUCUCAAAAAACCUUCUGUCUUACCGGUUACAAAGGAGGCUUUUAUAGCCACUGUUUCUAUUACAUUUUGGGAAGAAAUCCUUUUAUUUCUUUCCAUGCUUGUUUUGUUUGUUUGCUGCUGUUUCUUUCCUUCUUUUGCAGGUAACACCGAAAAAUCCAGUGGUGAUGGAGGCUUGGCGAUGGUGACGACGGACCAGGCACUGACUGCGCGCUGGCUUGCGGCGCUGAUGGAGGGCAGCUGGAUCGACGCGAGAUGAAACGACGUAACUCGGAGCCAGAGUUACGGGGAAAGUGGAGAGGCGUGUCUGCUUGCGGUGCCUAGGGUUUCUGAAACCCUAGGCCUUCCUGCUUUCUAUUAACAAUUUGGGCCUCUUAGGCUUUGUAUGCUUUGGGUCUGGGUGUAACGGGUCUGCUGGGUAGUUUUAGGUAUCUGAUUUUGGGCCUACGGGUUAGUGGGCCGUGUAUUGUAAAUGGACUGUAAUAAACAUUCCUUUGUUUAUUUAUUUUUUUUAUUUCUGGUUUUAUUUAAUUAUGGGCCCGGGCAGAAACAGGUUAUUACAAAGUAUAUACACUGUGUGAUUUUAAUGGUGCAAAAUGCAUGAACUUAUAAUAUAUAUACAUGGGUUUUAUUUUGUAUAAGUAUAUAUAUUAUUAGGGGGUUAUAUAUAAUAUAUAUAAGGGGGGUUGUAAUAUACAUAUAAAUGUGUUUCCUUUGGUGGUAUAUAAAUAAUAUAUAUAUUUAAGUAGGGUUGUAAAAUAAAUAUAUAUGCGUGAGUUGUUUUACAUAUAUUAUAUUAUAUGCAUGAACUUUAUUGUAGAUAAUAUAUAUACAUGGACUUUUGAUGAUUCACUUAACUAAAAUCAGGACAAAGGCAAGUGCACCUAUCGAAUAGUAGUAUAUUUAUGGUGAGUCAGGAAUAUCGUAUCCACGAGGACUAAAAGUACUAGUAAUUACUAUCUUUUAUUAUUUAGCCUAUAAAUUGAAGGAUUGUUUUUAAUCUAAAAUUAAACUAAUUACUAAGGAUGCAACAGAGAAUUAAGUAAGAAAAUAUUCAAAUGAAUCAAUGAGAGAGACAAUACCCAGGAAAAAAUCCACCUAGACUUCACUUAUUAUUCUGAAUCUGAAGUAAACGAUUUAUUCACUUGCCUUGAUCUAUAGAAAUCUCUAAAUUAUAUUAAUAUCUCUUUCGAGAGUAAAAAUAACUAAUUCUAGGUUGAUUAAUUGAAAUCUCUUUCUAAUUAAAACCCUUAUUGUCGCAUUAACUCGACCUAUGGAUUCCCCUAUUAGAUUUGACUCUAAUUCGGUAGAUUUAUGUUGUCCUAUUUCUAGGAUUGCAUGCAACUCCACUCAAUUAUGCCAGAUCUACUCUUAAACAAUGACUUUUGCUCCACUGAAAUAAACACAUCAAUUAUGAAAUAAUAUCUUAAAAACAUUAAAACAUGGAAAAGUACACAUAAUUGAGAUCAAGAAAUCAAGUAUUUAUUAUGUAAUUUAGAAAUUAAAUAACAAGAUCCAUCAUAGGUUUCAUCUUUCUUAGGUAUCUAGGGAAUUUUGUUCAUACUUUGGGAGGAAAACAUCUCAAAAUUAGGAAAACAACAAAACAUAAAGAAACUCAUAAACUUAUAAAGAAAUUGACUGGAGAUCUUCAAUCUUGAAGGAGAUCCAGCUUCUGAGUUGAUUCCGACGGUGUUCUUCGAGUAAUUUCUUCGUUCUUCUCUGCGUGUUCCCUUAGGUCUUCUUCUAGUGUGUUUUUAUAGACUUUAGAAAGCUCAGAAACCCUAAAAAUUGGUUUUUUCUGCGUGUUUGGGAAAUAGGGAGUGAUAUCGACACAGGCUAGCACAUGGGCGUGUGGCUAGCCCUCACACGGGCGUCUGCUCAGCCCGUGGGAAUGGCCAAGCCAUGUGGAUCCUGAAAGUAGCUCGUUUUGUCCGAUUUUGACUUAUUUUCUGCUCCUUUUGCUCCCCUAUACUCUCCUAAGUAUAGAAACAUGAAAUUAAAGGAAUGGGAGCAUCAAAUUCACUAAAUUAAAUAAUAAAUCAUCCAAAAACGCGUCAAGAAUAGGAUUAAAACAUGUUACUUUUAUGGUUUAUCAAAUAUCCCCACACUUAAGCGUUUUCUUGUCCUAAAGCAAAAAUCCUCAACUCACAAUUAAAACUAAUCUUUCCCAACUCAUAAUUCUCAUUGAUAAUGUUUUAUCAUAAUUCACAAAUAAUCUUUCAUUGAUAAUUCAACUAGAAGAGCACUAAAGAUACAAGCAAUCCAAGUUGAACAUUUUUAAAGCAUGAAAAACAUAGGUAUUUCUCCUUAUCUAAGUAAUUACCUUUAAUUCAAAACUGACAAGAAUUGACAUCCUCUAUAAAGAUUCACUCAAAUCACUCAAAGUUUUUAAGGUUCACAAAUAAGCACUUAAUAGUCAAACAUGAAAAGUCAUUACAAUAAGCUUGCAUAAAAAUCAAAUCUCCACCACUAUAAAAUGAGAUGAUACACAAAUCAAAAGGUCUUUAAAGAGUUGUAAUGGGGCUUGGGUUAAAGGUGUGGAUAAAGGCUGAAAAAAAAAGGGUUAGAAUCGAGAUCGAAUUGAUAAAUUGCCAACUAGAAACAUAAACUAAUCCUGAAUAAUUAUAUUAAUUGAAAACUUAUCAAGAAAAAACGAAAGCUUCUUCUCAAAAUAUGAAAUUAACUGUUUAAGCUCAAAUAACAUAGAACUAGUAAUAAUCAACGUAUAUGUAUUUUUUCCUCUCUUUUUUUUUUUGGAACAAGAAACAAUAAGAAAUAAUUUACCAACUGAACAAAAGGACAUAGUUAGGCAACUAACCAAAUCAAAUCUCGACAAAAAGGGAGUCAAUAAAAUAGGAAAAAAUUCUCAAUGAGUCAAAAAGAAUGAGCUAUGAGUUAAUAUUAAGGGUAGAUCAAAGAACUACGUUUUAAGCUCAACAAGGUUCACUAAGGGUUAAUUAUGUAGGUAGGUUUUAUGGGAUAAGUGGGUUAAAACCUAGGUGCCUUUAUCAUCUUAAUAUAUCAAAUCAAAGGUGUGGUAUCAUAAUCGAAGCAAGUUCUAGAAUAACCAAUCAACAUUGACACACUCAUAACCAAUAAUAAAGUCGCACGAAAAGUGUAUGCUCUAAAGGCUCAAAAUCUCACAAAAAUUAUGGUUUUUUAUGUCAAACUUGAAAAUCUCAAAUUUCAAGGUAAUACUUAAAUUUAGGGAAACAACCUAAAAAAUUUUAAUUUUGAAAAUAGACUUAUCAUGCUUGAUUCUCUCAUAUCCUAAAGUUUAAACAAUCAAUGCAUAAUUACUUAUGAAUUUAAUCUAAAACACAUCAAUGAUAAUCACAAAUCGAUAAGAAUUCAUUCUAAUAGUAAUAUGAGAAAAUUACUUAAACACAAGACAUAAUUCAGGGAUUAAAUAACCUCCCCACACUUAAGAUGUACAUUGUCCUCAAUGUACAAAAAUAGAUAAUCACAGUAGACACAAAAUAUCAUAACAGAGGGACAGAAUUGAAACUGCCCUGAAUAUUGGAUGAAAUUCCCAGAAUAGUGAAAAGCGGAAGUGUAGAUAAAUGUAGAUGUAGUGCAUGAUUCUGAGCAACUGAUAAGAAAAUAAACACAAUGCUGAAGAAUAUUAAAGGGUUACUCGAUUAGAAACAACCAUAAUAAAAUAUAGUUCAAAAUAUAAAAUAGAAAAAGUCUAGGAAAAAAAAUAAACAGAAAAAUAAAAAUAAUUAGUAAAAAUAAAAAUAAAAAUAAAUGGACUCAAUGGUCCUCAUCAUCUGACGCAUCAGCAUCGUGAGUCGUCGGCGCUAGAGGAGCAAUAUGGAAAUGCUGACAAAUCUACUGCAAUGUCGCAUCAAUACCGUCAAACCUCUGAACGCAGUACUGACGAAAGCUAGUGAACUCCUCGAUGGAUACUCCUCGGAAGCUAGCAGAAGAAGGAACAGGUUGGUGACUCGAAGGUGGAGGCCGUGGUGGGUCCUAAUGAUAGGGAGGAACAUCAUCAGAUAAGUCUUCUGGUUCAUUCUGAUUGUCAGAAUGAAACAAUCGAUACUAAGGGGGUCCACUCCAUGACGCCGCUCGAUCAUCCUCAUGUGUAUCAUGCUCGAGAUGCCUUGUGGGGACAUCUUGUAACAUCCCAAUUUAGACCCUAAUUGGAAUGGUGGAUUCAGGACCACGAAUCCGAGUCAAAAAAAUAUUUUAAAAUUAUUUUCUGUGUUUAUUAUGUGUGAAUUUAUAUCUGUGAAAUUUUCAUGAUUUAAUUUUGUCAUUUAAGUGCCUGAUUAAAUAAAAGGAUUUAAUCGCAUAAAUUGAAAAUUUGAUGGUUAAAUAAGAAAGGGCCGAAUUGUUGUUGUCUUUAUAAAUGGAGGUAUUUAUGUUGUAAAUUUCCCAUGAUAACAUGUAAUGGACGGUAAUGACCAUGAUUUAAAAUGGUUUUAUAUUUCAUUAAACAGGUUAAUUAUGUAAAUUGUAUAAUAUGUUAAUAUAUCAUAAAACAUAAAAUAAUUAUAAUUCAUUCAUGUUUUGUUCUUGGUGACCGAAACUAAAGAAAAGAGAAAAAAAAUUUAGCUUAGGGUAUUCGGCCAUUCUCAAGCUUGAUUCAAGGUGAGUUCUAGCUCGGUUUUUGAUAAUUUUUACGUUUUUGAGAUCGUUGCUAAGUUAUUUACAAAGCCCAUGCUCGAAUUUCUGAUUGGUGAAUAUUUUGAGUUAUGCUGUUGAUGAAUAUUUUAGCUUUGUGAAGUUAGUUGGUGAAAUAUGAAAGAUAUGUGAUAGAUUAACGUGUUUUGUAUUGGAAUUUUUUAUGAUUUUGAGUAAUUAGGACUAAAUUGAAAAAAUAAUAAAUUGAGAGACUAAAAUGUGAAAUACGUGAAAUUUAUGGACUGUAUGAACACUAGGAAUAUUCGACCUAAGCAUGGUGUGUGCAAAUUUUGCAUGUUUUGUGUUUUGUGCAAUUUGGACUAAAUUGUAGAAAGUGUAAAAUGUUAGGGUAAAAUGGUAAUUUACCCAUUUAUGUGUUUUUGGACUAAAAGGAGUGAAAAUAUGUUUGAAUGAGUUUAAUUUGAAUAUGUUUAGAUCAAGAACCAAGGGAAUUGAUUUGGAUCGGGGGAAAACUAAAGUUGUCAACUAGUUGUCCUGUUCCGUUUUUCGUCGUCCGAGGUAAGUUUAUAAGCUAAUAGAUAUUGUUAGUAUUGAUUAUUUACGAGUUUAUAUGCUGAAAUUGAAUUAUGUGAAUUUAUAUAAAUGAAAGUCGAAUGUAUAUUGAUGAUUGUUUUAUGAAACACUAAAUUAGACUACGAUCACGACUAAGGCAAGCGCACCUAUCGAAUGGUAGUAUAGUUAUGGCAAGACCAGAAUAUCGUAUUCACAAGGACUAAAAGUACUAGUAUUAACUAUCUUUUUAUUAUUUAGCCUAAAAUAUAUAUAAGAGAUUUGUUUUAAUCUAAAAUUAACUUAACUAAUUAACUACUAAAUGCGAAAGAGAGCAAAUUGGGAAGAAUACUUGAAGAAAACUUAUAGAGAAGACAAUACCCAGGAAAGAAUCCACCUAGACUUCACUUAUUAUUGUGACUCCGAAUCAAACAAUUUAUUCACUUGUUUUGAUCCGUAGAAAUCCCUAAAUUAUGUUAAUAUCUCUUUCAAGACUAAGAACAACUAACUCUAGGUUGAUUAAUUGAAAUCUCUUUCUAAUUAAAACCCCUAUCGUCGCAUUAACUCGAUCUAUGGAUGCCCUUUUAGAUUUGACUCUAAUCCGGUAGAUUUAUAUCGUCCUAUCUCUAGGAUUGCAUGCAACUCCACUUAAUUAUGUCAUAUCUACUCUUAAACAAUGACUUUUGCUCCACUGAAUAAGCACAUCAAACUUGAAUUAAUAUCUUGAAAAUAUUAAGGCAAGAAUUAAUAACACAUAUUUAAGAACAAGAACAAGUAUUUAUCAUAUAAUUCAGAUAAUUAAAUAAUAAGAUCCAUCAUAGGUUUCAUCCUCUUUAGGUAUUUAGGGAGUUUAGUUCAUAAUGUAAAAGGAAAACAUCUCAAAUUUAGAACAACAACAAGACAUAAAAAAACCCAAAUAAACUUCGAGAGAAAUUUGAAUGGAAAUCUUCAAUCUUGAAGUGGAUCUGCUUCCGAGAUGAUUCAAACGUCUCCCUUCGAGUAAUUUCUACUUUCUGCUCUACGACUCCCCUUAGGUCUUCUUCUAGUUUGUUUAUCUAGGCUUUAGAAUGCUUAGAAAACCUAAAAAUUGGCUUUUUCAGUGUGUUUGGGAAAUAGGAAGCGAUAUCGUAAAGGGCUAGCACAUGGGCGUGUGGCCUGCCCAUGUGGAUCACAUGGGCGUGUGCCCAGGCCAUGUGGAUCCUAAAAAGUCCGAUUUUGGCCCCUUUUUCACUCCUUUUGCUCCCAAAUGCUCUCCUAAGUAUAGAAACAUAUAUUUAAGGGAUUAGGAGCAUCAAAUUCACUAAUUCUCAUCACAAAUCAUCCAAAAAUAUGCCAAGCAUGGAAUUAAAAUAUGUUACAUUUAUGGUUUAUCAAAUAUCCCCACACUUAAACAUUUGCUUGUCCUCAAGCAAAAUCCUCAACUCACAAUUAAAAUUAAACUUUCUCAAUUCAUAAUUCUCAUUAAUAAUGUUUUAUCAUAAUUCACAAAUAAUUACACAUUGAUAAUUCAACUAAAAGACCACUAAAGAUUCAAAUAAUCCAAGUCAAACAUUUUUUUAAAGCAUGAAAACAUAGGUAUUUCCCCUUAUUUAAGUAAUUACCUUUAAUUCAAAACCGACAAGAAUUGACAUCCUCCCUAGAUAUUCACUCAAAUCACUCAAAGUGUUCAAGGUUUAAAAAUUAAGCACUCAAAAGUCAAACAUGAAAAGUUAUUACCAUAGGCUUGCAUGAAAAUCAAAUCUCCACCACUAUAAAAUGAGAUGAUACACAAAUCAAAAGGUCUUUACAGGGCUGUAAUGGGGCUUGGUUUAAGGUGUAGAUAAAGGCUGAAAAAGAAGGUUAGAAUCGAGAUCGAAUUGAUUAAUUACCUAACUAGAAAAAUAAGCUAAUGCUGAAUAAUUACAUCAACCGAAAUUAUUAAAGAAUAACACAAGCUUCUUCACAGAAUAUGAAAUUAACUACUUAAGCUCAGAACAAAGAAAUUAUAAUAAUCAAUGUCGAAACCCUUUUUUUUUUUAAAAAGAGAGAAUUUUGAAAACGGGAGUCGCCACCAACCUUUUUAGGUGUGAUUGGAUCACCUUAUAAAACAUUUUGGUCUACGAAAAAUGUGAGGAAACAGGUUCGGGAGUCGGUUACGCACGAGGAAGGAUUAGCACUCUCGCAACGCCCAAAAUUGGUACCAAAUUGAAUAGUUUUCUAUCUUAAUGUCAAAAGUUUGAAAGAAUUUAAAAAUAGGAUUCUUUUUUAAAAAUCGAAACGAUUUGAGCUGAAAAUCGAGAUUCUUUCGCUCCAAAAGAGUACAAACAUCAUAUCCAAUAUGAUUGGACACGAUAUUCUUAAACUUUUGUGACUAAAAUCAUCUCGUGAUUUACAAAAUCUAUUUAAAAGGAUACUUUAGACAUUUAGACAAACGGGAAAUUGCAACCCAACAUGUUAGGGCACUACUUCCCGAAUUCCUAAAUAUAAAAAUAUUACCUCAUUUUUAAAAUUUUUUUGGAUUAGAUGAAAUAUAAAUUUUUUAAAGCAAUGAUGCAUUUAACAUAGUACAAAAGAUCAAUAUUAAAUAAAUUAAACUACCUAAUACAUAUUUUAACAUUUCAUGCAAAUAUAAUAUAGAAAAUGAUAAAUAACGACAUAAAGUACACAAUAUACAUUAACAUUUUAUGUAUAUAUAAUCAUAAAUAACAUAAAUAUACAUACAUUAUCAUUUCAUGCAAAGCACAAAAUAGAAAAUAAUGAAUAUAAAAAUAUAAAUUACAUAUAUGUAAUAAUAUUUCAUGUGAAUAUAACUUAAAAUAACAACAUAAAUAAUCAAUUUUCAUGCAAAUAUAUAAAAUAAUAAAUAACAUAAAAAUAACAAAUAAUUUAUGAGAUAAAAUUAACAUAUUAAAAUAAUACUAAAUAAAUACAAAAAGGAUACAAAAAAUAAACAAACAAAUUAUGAACACAAAAAAAAUAAAAUCUAAAUACAAUUAGAAAAAAUAAAUGAGGUAAAAAAUUUUUAAAACAAUAUAUAAAUAAUAAAGGAGAAUUUUUUUAAAAAUAUAUAUUAUAUGAUAUAAUAGCUUAAUAUAUAUUUAUAUAAAUAAUAUUAUAUUAAAUAGGAGCAAAACUUUAUAGUAAAUUUUAGAAUUUUACAUAAUAUACUAAAUAUUUAAUAAUGAUAUAUAUUAUUUAAUAAUAGUUUACAAAUUUUUAAAAUUAUACAUAAUAAUAAAUAAUAAUAAUAUAAUAUAAUAUAAUAUAAUAUAAUAUAAAAAUAAUAUAAUGAAUAAUAUAUUUAGUAAAAUGAUAUAAUAUAAUAAAAUAUAUAAUGAAUUAAUAAUAAUAUGAUAAAUAAUGCAUAAGUAAAAAUAAUAUAUAUAAUAAAUUAUUUAUAUGUACAUAAUGUUUAUAGUAAAAAUAAAUAAUAUAUAAAAUAUUUAAAAUAAAUAAAUUAUAUAUAUAAAAAAAUAUUAGAAGGGAUUAAAAUUAAAUGGAAAUAAAACUCUAGGGUUAAAUUUAAAAUAAAAAAGGACCUAAUUGAAACACGCGAUAAAAGCUGAGGGACUCACUGGGCAAUUUGACCUUAAUCCCAAAACGACGUCGUUCCAAAAUAGGCCUUAUAAUAGUAACUAGGACUUAAUUGAAACAAAAAUAAAGGUCAGGGCCAAAUUUAAAUAAAAAUAAAAUUUGAAUUGAACGAAAUUAUAAAGGCUGAAAAUGCGGAAGGACCAAUUAGGCAAUUAGCCUAUUAAACAAAAACACGCGGAUCCCUCCCUGGUCACGGGUCAACGCACGGAUCCUCAGUCUUGAAACGACACUGUUUUGGUCACUAAAUGGUCAUCCCAAAACGACGUCGUACGGGUCGUUUAUAAAUAUAAAAAAAACUUUUAAAAAAAUCAUUUUAGCCCCUGGUUUUAAAAAAACAGAAAUCCUCUGAAAGUGGAGAAGAGAGGAAGCCCUCCGAGCUCCGGCCUCUGUUGGGCCAAGCCCCAGUCAUCGGACUCACGCGCCCACGCACCGUCAUCGACUCCGCCGGAUACGGCAGCCGAAAGCUGAAGAGCUUCGAUUUUUAGCGCAAAUCUGUCAGUAAAUCCCUUUUUUAUAUUUUUAGUAAUAUUUGUAUGUAUUCACAACAACAACAAAAAAAAGUAAAUCACCUCUGUUUCUUGAUUUUUAUUGUAUAUAUGCCUGUAAAAACGUGGUCCCCUUUACAUUGUUUCGAUUCGGGCUUUUAUAGCCACUGAAAAUCAACAUAAAAUAACAUUUACAAUAUUUAAUUUUAUUUCUUGCUAUAUUAGUACUAUCUCUGCUAUUUCUUUCCUUUUGCAGGUGAACGAAGACCCGGUGACAAGGGGUUGGCAUGCCGAUUGUGGUGUGAGAUGAGGGAUCGCUGACUACGGCGUGAUGAUUAGGAUCAUGUUUGCGGUGCAAAGGUUUCUGGAAACCCUAGGGUUUCCUGAUUCAGUUUAGGCAUUGGGCCUUCUUGGGCCUCGCUAAUUUGGGUCUAGUUUGAGUAUUUGGGCUAAAGGGUUUUAGGUGUAAUGAAGUUCAAAUGUAGGCUACCGGUGUGGUUGGUAAAUGUGCCCUAAGUAGUGUUUCAAUUGGGCUACGUAAAUAGGCUAGCAAUUUGGGUUUUGUAAAUGGACUGUAAAAGAACUUUUAUUAUUAUUUUUGUUUAUUUUAUGGGUCGGGCAAAUUUGGGUUAUUAAUCUGCCCCUCUUUGCUCAUUACUGUGUAACAGGAAUAGAGCAAAGACUAUAAAAGGACCAAAUUUGCCCGGUCUUAUCAGAUCCUGACUUCCUGGUCUUCAAUUUGCUCAUUGCAAACUCAAAAACGCCAUGUUAAUAACCUUGAUCUGCUCCCCGUCAAAUACAGAGACGCCAAAUCUGCUAUCUUCGAUUUACUUUGAUGUAAACAUACGAAUGUCAGAUCUGCUAUCUUCGAUCUACUUCCCGUCUAAUACAGAGACGCCAAAUCUGUCAUUUUCAAUCUACUUUGAUGUCAACACAGAUCUGCUAUCUUCGAUCUGCUCCCCGUCUAAUACAGAGAUGCCAAAUCUAUCAUCUUCGAUCUGCUUCGAUGUAGACACACGAAUGUCAGAUCUGCUAUAUUCGAUCUGCUCCCCGUCUAAUACGGAGACGCCAAAUCUGUCAUCUUCAAUCUGCUUCGAUGUAAACACACGAAUGUCAGAUCUACUAUCUUCGAUCUGCUCACCGUCUAAUAUGGAGACGCCAAAUCUGUCAUCUUCGAUCUGCUUCGAUGUAAACACACGAAUGUCAGAUCUACUAUCUUUGAUCUGCUCCCCAUCUAAUAUGGAGACGCCAAAUCUGUCAUAUUCGAUCUGAUUCGAUGUAAACACAUGAAUAUCAGAUCUUCUAUCUUCGAUCUACUCCCCGCCUAAUACAGAGAUGCCAAAUCUACUUCUUCGAUUUGUUCCCUGUCAAUAUAGAGAUGCCAAAUCUGCUAUCUACAUUGUCCCCUAAAGGACAUAACCUGUAGAAUGUGUAUGUGCUCAUGCCUAAUGAAUAGGAUGCCAUAAUCAAAAUGAGUCAAAUGCUCCUAAUUAGACAUAUUAUGAUGCAAAAUGUUAUGGAAAUGACUCCUAUUUCGGACGUCUUUACUCAUUCAUCCAUCAAAGUUUUAUCAUUAUUUUUCUCAAAGUAUCAAUCAUACUCUGCUCGUAUGCUUUGAAUCAAAUUGGUCCUAUUGUACCUUUCUUCGAAUGUUACGACCUGCUAGAGAUGAUCCUCUCCUAGGAUUGAAUCAUUUGAAUUGUCCAAUCAACCUUUAGACUGAAGAAGAAAUUUUCUAGUACCUCUGACCUUCAUUCAUGGGAAUUCUUUAAACAAUUGUCUUGUUUCAGUUUCUUGUAUUAUCUAGAGAUUUCCAGAGUAAUUUGCAAAACUUCAUUUGUAAAAAUAUUUAGUUCAUCAAUCAUUAUUUCAAUGCAAUACACUUUAUGGAUAAUGGAAGACAAAUAAUUUGAUCUUAAGAAUCAUUAAAAUACAAAAAGAAAUUAAUCUGAAAACAUAUCUUUGAGAAGAAAAAGAAUCCAAAGAUAGUAAACAGGACAAAAAUCAGAUGCCCAACAUAUCACAACUUGGGCUUCUGUAUACAAACUCCUUGAAGACUGUUUUAAGUUUAACAUGUGUUUACAAGAUCCAAAGUACUUUGUUGAUGCCCCGGUAUGUAACACACUCCACUUCUUGUCAAAUCCGGUAUAGCAAGGUCACUGCAUGCUUUUCAAAAUUUGAGCUGUCCUUUCAGGUUUUCAACUCAAAACCCUUUUUGUCUCAAGACACCCUUCGCGGGUUUUCACCUUGGCCUCUCCUUUUUUUCUUUUAGAAGUCUCAAAGCGCCCUUUGUGGGUUUUCACCUUGGCUUCCCUUCCUUUUAGACAAAGUACCUCUUGAAUGAGUCUGAAUUCACUGGAUCGGGUAAACUCUUCCCAUCCAUUUCUGUCAAAAUCAGUGCACCACCAGAGAAAGCCUUCUUCACAACAUACGGCCCUUCCAAUUCGGUAUCCAUUUUCCUCUAAAGUCCUUCUGUAUGGGAAGAAUCUUUUUCAGUACAAGGUCCCCUUCAUAAAAUUCUCUUAGACGAACUUUCUUGUCAUAAGCUCACAUCAUUCGCUUCUGAUACAUCAAGUUCAAUUGGUCAUACCGCAAUUGAAUCCAUUCUGCUUCAUCCAGCUUUAUCUCUAACAAAAUUUGAAGAGAAGGUAUUUCCAGUUCAAUGGGUAACACUGCCUCCAUCCCAUAAACCAACGAGAAAGGAGUUGCCUCGGUAGAGGUUCUAACGGACGUUCGAUAAGCAAAGAGUGCAAAUGGUAAUUUCUCAUACCAAUCUCUGUAUAUCUCAGUCAUUUUCCCCACUAUCUUGUUGAUAUUUUUGUUGGCAGCUUCCACUUCCCCAUUCAUUUUUGGACGAUAUGGAGAUGAAUUAUGAUGUUUGAUCUUGAAUUGGCUGUAGACUUCUGCAAUCAUGUUGUUAUUCAAGUUCAAUGCAUUGUCCGAUAUGAUCCUCUCAGGCAUUCUAUACCGACAAAUAAUCUCUUUUUUCAAGAAACGACUUACUGCCGACUUGGUAACACUAGCAUAUGAAGUUGCCUCUACCCAUUUCGUGAAGUAGUUAAUGACCACGAGAAUAAAACGAUGCACAUUUGAAGCUUUUGGUUAUAUUGGCCCAAUGGCAUCUAUGCCCCACAUGGAAAAGGGCCAUGGAGAAGUCAUAACAUGCAAAGGUGAAGGUGGUAUAUGAAUUUUGUCCCCAUAUAUCUGGCAUUUAUGACACUUCUUGGCAUAGCUGAUACAAUCUCCUUCCAUAGUAGACCAAUAGUAUCCAAACCUCAUGAUUUGCCUUACCAUUGUAAAGCCAUUAGCAUGUGUCCCACAAACACCUUCAUGUACUUUUUCCAAGAUUUUUCGGGCUUCCACAGUGUUGACACAUCUCAAAAACACCUGACCUUUCCUUCUUUUAUAAAUGAUGUCCCCAUCUAGUACAUAUUCGCAAGCUAACCUCCUCAAGGUUCUUUUGUCAUUCUCGGUUGCCUACUCAGGAUAUUCACGAUUUCUCACAUACCGCAAUAUAUCUUGAUACCAAGGAUGGUCCUCCUUUUCCUCUUUUUCGAUGUUACAACAAUGAGCUGGGACCUCAAAAAUACUCAUCUGAAUUGGUCUCACAUCCCAUUUUUUAUUUUCUUUAAUCAUGGAAGCCAGUGUUGCUAAAGCAUCUGCCAUCUGAUUUUCGUCCCGUGGGAGAUAAUUGAAGGUAAUGUUAUCAAACUCCUCAACUAACUCCAAAACUACCUUUUAAUAAUUAAUCAAUUUGGGGUCACUUAUCUCUCAUUCACCCCUAAGUUGGUAAAUUACCAACGCAGAGUCUCCAUAUACUUCCAGGGUUCUAAUUUUUCGCUCUUUGGCCGCUUGAAUCCCUAUGAUGUAUGCUUCAUACUCGGCCAUAUUGUUCGUACAGUCAAAAUCCAAUUUACAUGUAAAUGGAUAAUGAUCACCGUUUGGGGAUACCAAGACUGCCCCAAUUCCAUUUCCUACCGCGUUGGAUGCACCGUCAAAGUCAGCUUCCAUGGAUAUUCUUCAGUAGUUGCCACGUACAUCAACUCCUCAUUAGGGAAAUCAAAGCUCAAUGGCUCAUAAUCUUCUAGAGCUCUGCUAGCCAGAAAUUCUACUAUCGCACUUCCUUUUAUAGCCUUUUGACUCAUAUAGACUAUAUCAAACUCUGAAAGCAGUACUUGCCACCUUGCCAUUCUUCCAUUUAGGGCUGUUGACUCUAUCAUGUACUUUAAUAGAUCAAGUUUCGAAAUUAGCCAAGUCGUAUAAUAUAGCAUAUAUUGCCUCAACCUUCGAGUCGUCCAGAUUAAAGCACAACACAACUUCUCAAUUGGUGAAUAUCUCAUCUCACACUCUGUGAAUUUCUUGCUGAGGUAAUAUAUCGCCUUCUCUUUUCUUUCUGACUCAUCAUGUUGACCAAGCACACAUCCCAUAGAAUUACUAAACACUGAUAAGUACAGAAUUAAUGGUCUAUCUGGACUGGGCGGAGAUAACACUAGAGUGUUUAACAAGUAUUGUUUGACUUUAUCAAAAGCAUUCUGGCAUUCCUCAUCCCAAGUACCUUGGUUGUGUUUUCUAAAGAGGCGAAAUAUAGGAUCACAUUUCUCGGUUAAUUGUGAAAUAAACUGAGCAAUAUAAUUCAACUUUCCAAGAAAACCCCAAACUUCCUUCUGAGUACGUGGUGGAGGCAAUUCUCGUAUGGCUCCAACCUUGUGUGAGUCAACUUCUAUUCCCCUUUCGCUGACCGCAAGCUCAAUAACUUCCCCGACCUAGCUCCGAAUAUGCACUUUGCCAGAUUAAGCUUCAACUGAAACUUCCUCAAUCUUAGGAACAACUUCCUCAAGACUUCAAUAUGCUCCGUCUCUGUUCAAGAUUUGGCAAUCAUGUCAUCAACAUACACCUCAAUCUCCUUGUGCAUCAUAUCAUGGAAUAAGGUCACCAUAGCCCUUUGGUAUGUUGUCCCUGCAUUCUUCAACCCGAAGGGCAUUACCUUGUAACAAAAGGUGCCCCACAAUGUUAUAAAUGUGGUUUUAUCUAUGUCUUCAGAAUGCAUCUUUAUUUGAUUGUACCCUGAGAAGCCAUCCAUAAAGGAAAACAACGAAUAUCCCGACGUAUUAUCCACUAAAGUGUCGAUGUGCGGUAAAGGAAAGCUGUCCUUUGGGCUAGCUUUGUUCAAAUCUCUGUAAUCAACACACAUUCGUACCUUCCCAUCCUUCUUAGGGACAGGCACAAUGUUAGCCACCCAUUCUGAGUACUUAACCUCUUGUAGGAAUCCAACAUCAAACUGCUUCUUGACUUCAUCUUUUAUUUUCAGCACAAUAUCAGGCCUCAUCCUUUGUAAUUUUUGUUGGACUGGCUUGCAAUCUUGUCUUAUAGGGAGACGAUGUACCACGAGAUCAGUAUUCAACCCUGGCAUAUCCUCAUAUGACCAUGCAAAGAUAUCUUUGAAUUCACGUAGUAGCUCAACAAGACCUUGUCUCGUGUCCUUUGAAAUAUGUGUCCCAAUUUUCACCUCUCUUCCUUCCUCCAAGGCUACAUUCUCUAUUGCCUCUUUUUCUCUGGGUAGGAUUUGUUUCUCAUCUUGUUUCACCAUUCUCAACAAAUCUGGAGACACAUCACAAUCCCUGUUAUCUUCAAAAUCCUGAGGUUCUUCUAAACACAUGUCUUGCUCAAAAGAGAAUUCAAGAUUUGUAGUAUCAGUGCUCAUGUCAUUGAUAUCUAAAGACCUGAGGGGUACGAAAGAAUGUACAAAGAAUGAAUGAAUUUUAAGAAUGUUUAUUUAUGUGUUAUGUAUGAAAUGAAAAAUUUGAAAGGAUUUAAAAAAAAGGUCAAAAGAAUAUUGAUCGGUAUAAAAGAAUAUUCGCUCGGAUUGAUAAAAAAAGUCAUGUUUUAUUGAUAUGCAAAUAUCUAAACAAGAGCCUAUUUUACAAAUGAAAUCUUAUUAUUCUUAGGCUCUAGAGCAACAAGAGUGUUCUGAAAAUUACUCUGAAAAAUCUUUAAAAACUACAGGAAGUUCUUCUGCAGUCUAAUUGUUUAAAGAGCUUCCCAGUUCGUAAGGGCAAAUGCCCUCAAGGUUUCUUCGUUUAGACUCUUCAUUAUAUACAGCAUUGAUAUGAUGACUUCCUUUUUCGAGCAAUCCUCUCUUAGGGUGAAUCAUCCCUCCUGAUAUAAAGGUCUGGGAUAUAUGAGGGAACGUCAUUGAUUCCCACUCUACUUCUCUUCCACUUAAACGCACCUUUCUUCUUUCUUGACAUUUCUCUAUUUCCUUCCUUCUCUACCUGUGAUCUGGCCUGAAACCCAAGCCAAAAUAGUCUCUCUUCUCCUUUAGUUCUGGAACUUGAAUCCCUCCUUGGAGAUAUCUUCCCAAUCUUUUUCCUGGUAAGGCUCCUUUCCCUAUUGUCAUCUGUAAACCCAUUCUUGUGGUUCUGGAUAUCUUAGGCACCGGCACCUCAUUCCCCUCUUAAAUAAAUGUUGCAUUAACAAAUUCUAAAAAGUGAAAAGAACACUCAACAGCUUCCGAGCUUGCCUCUACAUAGGGUGCGUCAUUGGUGACUGCUGCUAUAAUGUCUUCCUCUGCAUUUAUGGUGACCAGCCGUCCACCUGUUACUAGCUUCAAUUUCUGGUGCAAAGAUAAGGGACCGCUCCUGCCGAAUGUAUCCGAGGCCUCUCCAACAAACAAUUAUAAGAGGGCUUGAUGUCCAUCACUAAAAAGUCUACCUCAUACACGUUUGGCCCGAUCAGCAAAGGGAUAUCAAUUCUUCCUAUGGCAUUUCUUUCCGUGCCAUCGAAUGCUCUCACUACAUUAUGGCAUGUUUUCAUAUGAGAACUGUCUAUGGGCAAUUUGUUCAAUGUGGACAAUGGCAGGACAUUUAAAGCUGACCCAUUAUCAAUAAGCACACUCGGCAAUGUAUAUCCUUUGCAGCGACUGGUGAUGUGCAAAGCUUUAGCUAAUCCCAUGCCACCAGGUAGGAUUUCAUCAUCAUUAAAAUAAAUGAAGUUGUCAGCGCUUAUGUUACUAACCAAUCUAUCCAACUUGUUGACGGAUAUAUCAUUAGUAACGUAAGUCUUGUUGAGCACCUUCAUUAACGCCUCACGAUGUACCUCUGAACUCAGAAGCAAACCAAUACUGAUAUACGAGCUGGUUGUUUGUGCAAUUGUUCAACCACGCUGUACUCACUGUGUUUCAGGAAUUUUAGAAACUCUCUAGCUUCUUCGUCCUUCACUGGCUCAUUAACAAGUACCUCAGCCCUAUUCUCCUUCUCAACAUCAAAGGCUUUCACUUUUGUAGGCUUAACUCUAAUGCCUUUUGCAUCAUAACGCUUCCAACUGCGUGUAUAGGAUCCUUCAACUUGAGCCUCCUUAUAAGUACUAGCUAUAUCUUCUCUCUCCGGUAUUGUCACAUUGCAGUCAUAAUUCCAGGGUACCCUCUUGUUAUCCUUAUAAGAAAAGGAAACGGGUUUGUGAAUAAUGACUUUCGGCACUAUUUGUGUCUCAACUUCAUUAUUCCUUGGUAUAAAAAUAAUGAUCUUUGGCCGGUUGAUUCUUUGAUUCUUUGGUUCACCUUCCAAUGCACAUACAUGUCUCUCAUCUGAGCCAGCUUCAUAAAAUUCCAGCUCCUUAUUAUCCAUAAGGCUUUGUACCAAAGCCUUAAACUCGUCACAUCCUUGGAUCUCGUGUCCCUCUUCUGCAUGGAACUCAUAGUAGUCCUUCGCUCAUUUUUUUCCCUCUUCAGAGAUUAUCAUUUCUCAUUUCAUCAUUUCGUCCCAGAUUACUUUCAUUGGUAUUUUUACCAUGGCCACGUCCUCUUUAAUCCUUCUCAUUGUAGUUUCCCCAAUUGCAUUUACCUCUUGAUCACCAUGGUUUGGCAACGGGUUCUUUGUACUAGGGGUGUCAUCAAAUUUUACGACCCCUAUCUUGAUAAGUCUUUCCACUACUUUUUUAAAGCUAGUGUAAUUUUCGAUUGAAUGCCCCGAUAUCCCUACAUGGUAUUCACAUUUGGCGUUUGCAUCGUACCAUUUGGGAUAUGGUGGUUGCAGUGGUUUCAAAUGAAAAGGAGCUAUUGCAUGCGCAUUAAAUAAACUUUGAUAAAGCUCCCGAUACGUCACUGGGAUAGGUGUAAAUGAGACCUGUUCAGAAUUUUGUCUCGAACCAGAUCCUUGCUUUUGGGAAUCCUGUUGCCCAACUGUAGUUGCUCUGAGUUGAAUAACCGUAAUCACUUUUGAAUUAUAACUACUCGUAUUGUUCACCUCAUUAUCUUUCCUUCUUGGGGCCGAUCUUUUAGCAAUUUCCCUCUCUAUCUUACCACCCCUUAUGGCAUUCUCAAUCAUUUCUCCUGCCAUAACUAUAUCAGCAAAGCUCUUGGUGGUAUUUCCAAUCAUAUUAGUAAUGAAUGGAGCCUUCAAGGUGUUAAUGAACGGUAUGGUAGUUUCUUUCUCCAAAAGCGGUGGUUGAACUUGCAUGGAAACCUCUCUCCACCUCUGUGCAUAUUGCCUAAAGCUCUCAUUAGGCUUCUUUUCCAUGUUCUACAAAGUGAUUCUAUCAGGAGUCAUGUCAGUCACAUGAUUAUAUUGCUGCAUAAAGGCUUGCGCUAAGUCUCUCCAAGAACCAAUCCUUGAGCGACUCAAUUGAUUGUACCACCUAGCCGCUGCCCCAACCAAACUAUCCUGAAAACAAUAGAUCAAUAAUUGAUCAUUGUUUACAUAGCCAGUCAUCCGCCUACAGAACAUGGUGAUAUGGGCCUCAGGGCAAGUAGUCCCAUUGUAUUUCUCAAACGCCGGCAUCUUGAACUUAUGAGGAAGCACCAAAUCUGGGACCAAACUCAAGUCCUUGGCAUCAAUUCCCUGACGAUUAUCAGCGUUUUCCAAUGCCUUAAAUUUCUCCUCUAACCAUCUACAACGUUCCUCUAAUUGCCUUGAUGAUUCGAGCCUCAUCUCUUCCCUCUCAGCUACAUCCAAAUCAGGGAUGAUUGGAUUGGUAGGGUUAUCUCCCGGGUUGAAUCCUGAGCCAGUUUGAAAGUUCAUGGGUAUUCCAGCAUCGACUUGCCCAUGUUGAGGCCUUAUUGUGAUGGACGGCCUUCGGGGAUAUGCGUCAGGUUGAGUUUGCACAUGGGGUGGAGUAAAACCCGAAGGAUGAUCCUCAUUAUCUUCUUCAGUCAUAAGGGCCUUUCCUUUAUCCGUUGCCCCCUUCAGCAGCUGGGCCAUUUCAGCCAUCAUAUUCCUUUGAGCCUCCAACAUUUAAUCCUUCAUCUCUUGUUGGAUUUUUGCCAAUUGUUCCUGCAAUUGCUCUUGCAUUUCUUUCUGGAUCUGGUCAAGUCUUUGAUCGAUAUUCUUUUUCUUAGUGCGUGUACCGUAAGGAUGUGUUGCUUCCAGGUUUUCUUUUUCUCUCACUCUCUUUCUCUCUGUAAUUUUAACUAAUUAGGGUCUUUCUAUAAAUUCGAAUGCAUAUGAUGCGAUGAGAUACAAAUGCAUGAAUGUAAAAAAGAUAUCGAUUCUGAUUCAGUUUAUUUUAGAAAAUGUUAUUUAGGAAACAAAAAUCUUUACACAAAACGAAUUACAAAUAUGCUUUCGCCCUCAGGCCUAGAGUUUUAACCCUAUCCAAUAACAAAGCUAACUCUCGACCUCUAUCUGACACUGACUCAUACUUUGCACUCAAUACAUUAGCUUACGUUGCCAGGUCUUGUAAAUGAUCAGCAGCCUCUCGAAUCUGGACUAUGGCUUCUCCCAUGAGAUAGUCCCUAUCUCUGACUUGAUCCUGAAAAUGGUGAAGCUCUCCCUUCCAAUGUCCUUCUCUUUCCUCGAGCUACUCAAUCUGAAGUUCACAGUUCUGCAAUGCUACUUCCAACCCUCCAAUAUUGUGCUUCAUUUCCUUGAUCUUGUUCAGACUUGCCUUUAAUUCGACCGCAGAGUUACGAAUUCGAUGAUGAUGAAGAGAUCGUCCAAGAUCCGUCACCUUAGCUUUUAAUCCUUGAUUCUCUUUCUCUGGGGCCUGAUUCUAUGCCUGCAUCUCUUGAAACUUCUUCUCCCAAUACUCGGCUUUGGUUCUUUCUUCUUGAACCUCUUGUUGCCACUGCUCUGAAGACUUCCCCAAUCCAGCUCUCUUCAUUGAUAGUUGUAUCCUCUUAUAUUGUAUCUUCAAGUCAUCUCGGUCUUCCUCAAUCUUUAUCUUUUCUUUCUUCACUUUUUCGACCUCAAUUUUUUGAACGUCGACGUCUAAGCUUAGGUACAUCUUCUCCUCUUCAAGCCUUUCUAUCUUUCUCCCGAGCUCUAAAUUAUUCCUUUUGAACUCUUACUUUAUGACCUAUAACUCCGAUGGAAUCACUGUAAACUCUCUUCCAUCAAUCGAGCAGCACCCAAACUCAGCCUAGGGAUGUUAUCAUUGAUCCUCUUGCUAAACCACCCUUUGUACUCAAGAGUUGUCGUCGAGCCUUUAGUCAAAAUCUUCACACAGCAAAUCUUCUUCCAAGCCUCAGAAAUCUCUCACAUCUUUUUUCUUAUAAUGAUCCCCCUUAUAUGAGAAAUCACUUUGAGCUAACCCUUGUGUUGCCGGUAUAAAAUGCCUCGCUUUGUAUUGCCUCAGGACGAUUAAUGGCGCGUAACCAACAACUCCCCAAAUUCCAGGAAAAGGUACCCAAUCAAAACUUCCGCAACAAUAAAGGACUUCAUUAGGAGCCAUCCAAGGGGCUUUCCACAUAACAUCUUCCUCUCGGAGAUUCUGAAGUAUUUCCAUCCACCUUUCCUCUGUAAUGUCAUCCCUCCUUGGCGUAGCUGCUGCUUCCUUUAAGGGAGAAUAAUCCUCAAAGAACACUCGGCAAGGAACCUUAUCGACCUUCCAAAAGUAACUGUGGAACCAUACUAACAACAACUGUGCACAUCCAAUGAAUCUACCUUCACCGGCUCUCCGACAUGCACUCAAAGAUCUAAACGUCUCGGCUAGGACUGCAGGCACAGGUGUGUUCUGUUUACCAAGUCUAUCAAAUAAAUCCACAACUGCUUCAUCUAUGUGCCCCAUAGCUUUGGGGAAAAUCACCAAACCAUAAAUACUUAAGGCCAAAACAUCAACCCUCUUCUUCACAUCUGGGUGUGCCAAUAUUAGAUCCCUCAAACUUGCCCACGGAAUGCAUUUACCAUCACCUUUUUGUUGGAUUUGAGCUGCGGCCCACUGUUCACUUAUCCUUGUGAUCAUCAUUAAUUUCUUCACGAAAGUUGGGAGAUUAGUAACCUAACAUAAGCUUUGUUACCUUGAAUUUUUGGACAGCGAAGCAAGGUCGUAUACUCCUCUAAAAUAGGUAGUAAAUCUACCUCUCCAAAUGUAAAACAACUAUAAGCAGGGUUCCAAAACUGUACCAUAGCUCGAAACAGAUGCAUAUCCACCUUGAUGUCUAGCAAAUAGGGAAGAUCUCCAUAAUUCUGGUAGAACAGCUGCUUAGCCUCGUCAUCCCAUUAGGCCCAAAUGUUCUUCAACUCCUGAAACUCAUUCUGUGUCGAACUAAUACGAGUGAAGUCCCACAAAUCUGACGUAUACCCUUCGAUGACACUAUCUCUUUUCUCUAAUUGGGUUUUCUCUGACCACGCACAGACAGAAGCGUUGUCCUCCACUUUAUCAAGAUAUUUGUUUCUCAUUACAAAAAUUUCUAAUCUAGAAAUCGAACCGUGAAUUGAUACCUUUAAAUGUUGAGUGACAUGCAAUAAUAGCAAAAUAACGUAAGUCAGUAUCAUAUAUAAAAGGCAUAAUAAACAAGCACUUAUAAGGGUAGCUUACUAAAGGCUAUCACUAUACUCCCUAGGGUAAUCACUUAAAGUUCACUAUAUGUGUUUUAUUUCUAAAGUGAGGGUACCUGAACCAGCAGAUUCUUCGAUCCUCACCCAUUAUAGGCUCAUAUGGACAAAGUUCAGUUCAGGGGGACACAUUUCCCUAUGGCCAUGCGGAGAUGAAAAUCUCACGAAAACAUAGGUACGGGUGUAUCCCGGAAGCAAUCCACUAGCCCAUACGGAGGUGAAAACCUCACGAAAGUGUA
rnacentral:lncRNA from 1 species